AACUUAAAAGAGUGAGCAAAAACUCAGUUGGGAAGGAGUUCCAGCCUUGAGAAACACUGGGUUCACGAAAUGACCUCAGAAUUAGCAGCCAGUCCAGCCUUAACUAUAUCAAACUUAGACUCCCUAAACUUUGUAAUAACUUCAAUACUCUUCGUCAAAUUCUCUAUAGCAGUAUUAUCAUACAAUUUAGAGCCAUGUCCAGGCAUUCCAACAGCCUUAAUCACCAUAUGCCAAGGUGUCCUAUCAGCAUAGAACACUCUAAACUAAUUAUUAGUCGAAGCCUGUCCAUCCAUCAUAAACCCAACAUUUAACUCUUCAAAUUCUUUCAACUCCACAACCUUCUUCAUCCCAUCAAAUCCACCAACCUCUUCAUCAGGUACAUACACAAUGUGAACAUUUCUCAAAGGUACAAAAUCUAGACCAGCGCUUUGAAUCUGGAUGGCUCAUUGAAUCCGAUGUUUAAGUGAAAAUUAAUUGAUCGUUACUUCAGACUAUAACUUAUUAGUAUCAAGAACAAGGAUCAGUAUAAGCAACACGAGUUUCUUCAUUUCUUACACUAAGAGCAUCAUGACUUUCUUUUUAUUCUUAGUACAGAACAAAAAUAACAAAAUUACAGCUAUCAGACUAUACAAGAUUUGAUACUAUAGUCUAUAGGAUACCUAUCGUUUUCAUGUUAUUUAUAUAUCGUCCUUCCCAAAGACUAUUAAUAUGGACUUGAACUUUACUACUAAAUGAGUGAGGUGAUUAUUCUCUGUAGCAGGUACAGGAGCUGCAUCAAUGCUCAAAACUAUUGGCAAGUACGCUGGACAAAAAAGGUGACGUGCUCACUCUAACCUCAAAUAACUUGUUGAGGUAGUCAACCUCAAAAUACCAGGACACAAUACAAAACUACUAAUACCAAACUAUCACCAGCUAAUUAGCAGCAGGCACACACCAAAAGCAAGAGAAGUUCUACCAACAGACUGUUACUACCAACAGAUCAAGAAAUGGAAACUGACCUUGAUUGUUACUACCAACAAAUGGAUGGUUUAUUGGUUGAUUAGAAAGCGCUUCUCCUGAUGAAUGAACAUUGAAUCCUAGCAUAUUAGGAUCAAGUGUUAAUUCUGAAUUUAGACAUGAAGUUGUGCAAUGAUAUUCAUUGUAACUUCUCGCUCAAUGACAUCUCUUUGAGCAUUCAUUCUUUAUUGCAUCCUCUCUUUUAGCUCAUCCAAUCUCUUCUCCACCAGUUCAUCAGGUUUGAAGAGGAUGCAUAAUCACUUGCUUUCUGUUUCAAAAGAGUCUUGGUAACACCGCGUCCUAGUAGUCUUACUCGACUAGGAUGAUCAGACCCCAUAACUGUUGUGAAUGUAUCAGUUGAUUGAGUACCAUCUUUACUUUCUUGAGUUUCUACUCUCUCCAUUUCAACCUACACAUCGGAUUCAAGAGCAAGUAAAUUUAGUUGAUUCAAUAUUUAAGAAAACAAUGAUCUUGAUCAAUUUUGAAAUAGAAAAUUUCAUACUAUUUUGCUUGUAAUCUCUUUAGAUGUGUCCUUAUAUACUCGAUCAGAUUUCCUUCUUCUAGUAGCCAUAAAGAAUUCCUUAUUCGACAAAACACCUGAAUUUUCCUUCUUUUUUUCCUAGUUUCAUGCAAGUCAGCAUUAAAAUAUUAUCAAGUAAAUGGAACAAGUUCAUAGUAACAAUAAGAGAAAACACCACACCUCGCGGAUUAAAGCAAAACUUAUUUUGCCCAUAGUGUGCGAAUACUUAAAUGUUUUCUUGUUUUCUUUGUUAGUCUUGGAAGUAUCCUGCAAGUCAAUAUUUAUGUCGUCCUUCCCAAAAACUAUUAAUAUGGACUUGAACUUUACUACUAAAUGAGUGAGGUGAUUAUUCUCUGUAGCAGGUACAGGAGCUGCAUCAAUGCUCAAAACUAUUGGCAAGUACCCUGGACAAAAAAGGUGACGUGCUCACUCUAACCUCAAACGACUUGUUGAGGUAGUCAACCUCAAAAUACCAGGACACAAUACAAAACUACUAAUACCAAACUAUCACCAGCUAAUCAGCAGCAGGCACACACCAAAAGCAAGAGAAGUUCUACCAACAGAUUGUUACUACCAACAGAUCAAGCAAUGGAAACUGACCUUGAUUGUUACUACCAACAGAUGGAUGGUUUAUUGGUUGAUUAGAAAGCGCUUCUCCUGACGAAUGAACAUUGAAUCCUAGCAUAUUAGGAUCAAGUGUUAAUCCUGGAUUUAGACAUGAAGUUGUGCAAUGAUAUUCAUUGUAACUUCUCGCUCAAUGACAUCUCUUUGAGCAUUCAUUCUUUAUUGCAUCCUCUCUUUUAGCUCAUCCAAUCUCUUCUCCACCAGUUUAUCAGGUUUGAAGAGGAUCCAUAAUCACUUGCUUUCUGUUUCAAAAGAGUCUUGGUAACACCGCGUCCUAGUAGUCUUACUCGACCAGGAUGAUCAGACCCCAUAACUGUUGUGAAUGCAUCAAUUGAUUGAGUACCAUCUUCACUUUCUUGAUUUUCUACUCUCUCCAUUUCAACCUACACAUCGGAUUCAAGAGCAAGUAAAUUUAGUUGAUUCAAUAUUUAAGAAAACAAUGAUCUUGAUCAAUUUUGAAAUAGAAAAUUUCAUACUAUUUUGCUUGUAAUCUCUUCAGAUGUGUCCUUAUAUACUCGAUCAGAUUUCCUUCUUCUAGUAGCCAUAAAGAAUUCCUUAUUCGACAAAACACCUGAAUUUUCCUUCUUUUUUUCCUAGUUUCAUGUAAGUCAGCAUUAAAAUAUUAUCAAGUAAAUGCAACAAGUUCAUAGUAACAAUAAGAGAAAACACCACACCUCGCGGAUUAAAGCAAAACUUAUUUUGCCCAUAGUGUGCGAAUACUUAAAUAUUUUCCUGUUUUCUUUGUUAGUCUUGGAAGUAUCCUGCAAGUCAAUAUUUAUGAGUUUUUAAUAAAAAGAUCGAGACAGUGAAGGUUUAAACACACAGAAUUUGAUGCCUUAUAUCGAAAGAAAGAACAACAUAAAAAGGAAGAGCAGGUGUGAUAAAUUCAAUAAUAAAUGCAUGCUAACAAUAAUAUAAUAGUUGUCCAUAUUGAUAUCAUACCUCAGCUUCUUCGGAAUGCCAAUACUUAAGGAGAUCCUCAAAUACAGGUUCUGGAAUAGAGGUAGGCCUUUUUGCCCUUCGAAUUUCAUCAUUGGUGUAGGCAUAAAAAUGACGGUUCUUGAGUCUGGACUUAUGACCUCUAAACGCAGCAUCAAUUGAUCUCAUUGCCCAAUUUUUUCCGUUGUUGGAAACCUCAUAUUUCUCCUAUAAUUUGGUUGAAUUGGGUUAGUGUAAAAACUGUGAAAGGCAUUCAACUAGAAAUCAAAAUACUGAGAACUUAGAACCUGAAUAUAGCUCCACAUAUCAUCGUGUGUCUUCAACUUUGUCCAACUGAGAUUAAGAGGACAAAAUUCUCCAUUCCUUGCUAAUGUGCCAAGAAAGCUGGAAAAUUCAGUGACUACUGCUUUAGUUGGACCAAUAGGCUGGUUCAACCUAUUUAGCACUAUCAAUUGACGGUCAGUUCGUCCAUGUACUGCUUGCAUUUGUGUAACGCCUCUUUUUCUUUUAUUAGUUGAAGGGCCUACAAUAAUAUCAACAACAAAAUUACUGAAAUGCAGAUAAUUUUUGAAAUAGUAUGAACUAAAAUAUAUAUAUAUAUAUAUUUUUGCCUUCUCCGGAUUGUUCAUUUGCUUGUAAAUUAGGAAGUUGUGAUUGAUCUUGUUGCACUCGUUCAACUGUGGGUUGUGAUGGACGAAUGGUGGAGUCUGGCAAUUUUUGUCGCACUUGCUCCUCUACUGGUGCUGCGAGAGAGGUGGAAUCCAGAGACACCUGUUGCACUUGUUCUGAUACUUGAGAUAUAACUGGCACCUAUUGCACUUGUUCUUACUUGAGAUAUACGUGGAAUAUUGUUUGACUUCUCCUUCUGCUUUUGAUUCUUUUUCUUUGCAUUUAUGUAGCCUGUGUUCUUCUUCUUCUUCUUCUGAAUCAGAAGUCAACGGUCUCUUCAAGAACUAAAAAGGAAUCAAAGCUACAACAAAAUCCCCAAAAAUCAGUAACAUCUACAACAAAAUCCCCAAAAAUCAGUAACAUCUAAUUCGACCAACUACCACAGGCUCUUUUGAAAGAAGAAAAAGGAAUAAGGUGAGAACUUACUGAUACAAUAAGCGUCGUUUAGUUACAGCUACAACAAAAUCCCCAAAAAUCCCAAAGAGUUACAGCAAAAUCUUCAAAAUUCGUCGUCGGCCGAUCUCCCACAGCGUUACACAGAUCUCCUUCCACAGAACCUUUAGCGAUUAGGGCAAUCCUCGAUGAAAGUCCACAGAACGUAACCUUUAAUGAUUUAGAGAAAGCGUUUGUGAUAACAAUUUAGAGAAAAAGUUUGUGAUAACGAUUUAGUGAUUUUGGAAUCGUUUAAGCUUAAGAUUUAGAGAAAAAGCUUUAUUAGAAUGUUUUUGUUUUGACGGACUUAGUAAGAUAUUUCGUGAAAGUGGAGGGAAAAAAAUAAGCGUUGCUAUAACUUAUUUUAUUUAUCUAUUGCAACGCUUUGUUAACCGUCGCCAAAAAGUUCGUUGCCAUAGGAGUAAUUUCCAAUAGUGCUCUUCCAUGGCUUUCCAUACCCCUUUCAUAUCAAAAGGGACAACGUCUUCCUUUUUGACCUUGAGGAUAUCAACCGGCCCAGGUUUCUUGCUUGUCGGCCAAUGUAUUACAUACAAGUCCACGAAAUCUAGCCCCAAUUUCCUGCGUAAUCUCAUAUAUGGUUAAACCAUAAAGUACCUACUAUAUAAGAGUUUGAGAAGGCCAAGAGUAAAUAAAAAUUGUGGUGAGACGAUAGCCUCAGCUUCGAAAAUCAAGUUAGAGAUUACUAGACGUGUAGGAGACUUUCAUCAAGGAUGUCGAAGCAUAGAAAUGCAUGCAAUUACACCUCCUCAAAUCUUCAAUGAGUACUAUAAACAAUGGAUUCUCCUCUGUGUUUGUUGCUAAGAGAUGGAGAUCAAUAAUUUCUAGUUUAUGAGUUUUAGGAGCUGAGCUAGAAGUCGAUGUACAGGUUUGGUCAAGCCCUGCAUAGUUCAAAUCCUGUAUUUGUAACAAGUAGACAAAUAAUUCAGAAAUAUGCAGAUAAAUUAAAUUCAAAACCUAAUAAUUAACUUAAAUUAAGUACCUUAAGAAUCCAUGAAGUUUAAAACUGGCUUAGCUGACUCUCAUGAUUUAUGAUUUCUAGAAAAGGUAGCUUUACUGAGUUCUAGAUGACUUUAUAUAUUUUCAGUAGAUUUAUUAAUGCAAAUACAAAAUAAAUUUUUGAUCAGAGUUGGUUAGUUCUGUAGAAUCUGCAACUAAAACUGAUCUAGCUCCUGUUGUUAACGUUGAGCUACAACUGGAGCUAGGCUGUCAUAACAAUUUAAAAAGGAAAAAAAAUCAUAAUCUAUUGAAACAAAAAUGAAAAUAUAGUAUUAUUAGUACCCAAGUGUGUUUUUGAGGGCAGGGAGAACAAUUUGAGGGUGGGCAUCGUUGCACCAUAACUUAGAAGUAAUGAACACUUGUUGUCGAUUCUUUAUAUGCCCCGUUCUAUUGCUUCCGCCACUGCCCUGCCAAGUGCCUCCUCUGAGCCAUAAAGCGCGGCAGUGUCAAAAUGGCGGUAUCCUGCCUCAAUGGCGUCAACCAAAAUAGAUGGUAACUCAUCUAGCCGCGGCAUGGGAUACGUCGCAGUUCCCAUGCCUAACACAGGCAUCUUGUAGCCUGAGUUCAGUACAACUUCCGGUACGUGUACUACUUCCUCCAUCUAUAAAAUCGCGAUGCUAAUAGUCCACAAUUAUGAAGAAAUUACGCUUAUAAUUUGUUAUGAAAACAGUAGUAGUGAAGAUCUUAUUGAUGAUCGUUGUUGAGUUUCCAAAUGUGUAAAGACUAAUUUGAAAUGAGAACAUAUAUGUGACACUAUUAAUGCCACGACUCUUUUAAGGGUCAAACUUAAUGAAUAUAUAGCAAACAAAAUACAUGGAACAAACUAAAAGAAGAAUACGUUACUCCCUUCCUUUCAUUUUAUUUGACCUUAAUUUGACACUCUUUUAAUGGUCAAACUUAAUAAAUAUGGCAAAGAGAAUAUAUAGAACAAAUUAAAAGAAGAAAAAGUUACUCCCUUCCUUCCAUUUUAUUUCACCUUAAUUUGGCCCUCUUUUAAUGAUCAAACUUAAUAAAUAUAACAAACAAAACACAUUGAACAAACUAAAAGAAGAAAAAGUUACUCCCUUCCUUCCAUUUUAUUUGAUCCUUCUUAAUUUGACACAUUUAUUAAGAAAAUACUAAUAAAAGCAUAUUUUUAUAAAAUUAAUUUUAUUAAUAACUUUUUAACAUUUUAAAUCUUAGUUAUUUAAUAUCGAGGAUAAUAUAAAAGAAAAAUAAUAACAGUCUUUAAUUUUGGGAAAUAACAAAUUUGAAAGGCUAAAUACAUAUACAGACCCCUCAGCUAUUCGACUUUUCCCGCUUAGGCACCUCAAUUAGGCCAAGUACCUAUUGAACACUUACUUCUUCACAAAAACGUUUCAAUUGAGCACAAUUGCUGACGUGACGCUGACAUAUCGUGACAUGUGAAAUACACUCUCCUACUAGAGAGUGUGAAGCCAUAAUUAAUUGUAAUUUCAUUUUUAAAAUUUUUUUUUUUCCAUAUCAGCAACAAUAUAAUUUUCCAUUACAUUGAACCUUUUUUAAUUUCUUUAAAAUUAUAUUGUAGUUUUUCCAUUUCAAAAUUAAAAAAUUACAUUCAAUUUCAAAAUUAAAAAAAUUAUAUUGAACACCUUAUUUAAUUUCCAUUAAAAUUACAUUUUUUUUAUUUUUUUAUUUUACAAAGCAAAUUCAUCAUUGCAACAUUAAAAUUACAUUGUAAUUUCUUUAAGAAGCCAUAAACUGAAAUUACAUUGAACUUUUUUUUUUUCAAUUUCGUUUUUCCAACACUGCAACAAAUGAGCCAUAAACUGAAAUUACAUUGAACAUUUUUUUUUUCAACAAGUUUCUUAAAAAAAAUNNNNNNNNNNNNAAAGAGUGUUUGGAAGUGCAACAUCAAAACAGUGCAACACUGAAAUUACAUAAACGAUUUUUUUUUUUCAAUUUCUUUUUUCCAACACUGCAACAAAUGAGUUUUUUUGCCGGAAAAAUAAUGUACGAACACUGCAACACCAUCAACUGUAGACACGUAAUUUUGUCCCCCUUAAAAAUUCGUUUUUAUUCAUUUCUACCUUAGCAUAUUAUGUACCCUCCCCACGUGAUUACACCCCACAAAAAAUACAAAAAAAUAACUCUCAACAAAAUCCCUAACAAACUUUUAUUCUUUUAACACCCUAACAACCCUCUCCAAUAAAAAAAAAUAAUAAAUCACCAUCUCACCACCUCAUAUCCUACUCCUUACCCCUACCCCACGUCACACCCCCCUCUCUUUUUUUCUUAUUCAAAAAGAAAGGACUCAAAAUACAAUAUAUACAUACCCACAUACACAAAAAAAAAAGAAAACAAAAAAAAAUGGAUGAACAGUAAAGUCAUCAGCUUUUUCUCUCUCUACACUCUACUCUCUACUCUCUCUCUCCAAAAACUGAAAAGAAAAAGGCCUCCGUUCGCCGCCUCUCCGUCGUCACCGUCAGCCGUCCAUCGGUCACCUCUCCAACUUCCGAUCUCUCUUCUCUCUCCGGCAAAGCUGCCGUCCGUCAACCCUCCCUCCGUUCGCCGGCGAAACAGUCACUGCAGGCGAACACCGUUCGCCGGCCAGGGACCCAAACCGACCGCCGCCUUCUCUCGGAUGUGAUCUCUCUUCUCCUCCGGCGAACUAGCGUCGGCCGUGAUCUCUCUUCUUCUCCGCCUUCCAGAUCUGUCUCGUCACCGCCUAGAUCUGCCGCCGCCGUCACCAACAAAACCCCCAUCGUCGCCGGAGAAGAAAGCCAAGUCAGCUGCUGCUCCGCCGCCAGUAGUCGCUGCUCCAGCCGCGGCGCGUCGGCCAGCUCCGACCGCAGCUCGUCCCUUCGACUCCGACGAGAUUUUGCGUAUGGGUCUUCUCGAUUUUUCAUAAUUUCAGUCUCGGUUCAUCUGGUAUUUCUUAUUUCUUCGUGCAAGGAUAGUUGAAAAUCAUUGAUUUGGGGUUUCGAAUUUGAGAUCUUGGUUUGUUUAUGAGUUUUAUUCGGGCUUAUGGAUUAUUCAUCGUGAGAUUUUGUCAUGGUUUUCCGAUCUGUCCGGUUGAAUUCAAUAUCGAGUUUGGAGUUGUUCGUUGUGAGGUUCUCCGAUCGAGUAUUUUGGUUUUCGAAUUUCUUUAUUAUCGACAAGGAUUAGUUUCAUCGAGGUCCAUUUCUUCUAACCGAAUCUUUAAUUUAUUUUGACUUGUUAUUGAUGUUGUGGGUAUGGAUGAUUUAUUUGUUUGUGUUCGGUUUGAAUCUUCGUUGUUUGUGUUGUGUUUGAUGUUGGUUUCGGAUUAUAAGAUGUGGUUGGAAAAUCGAAGCAUGCACUAAUCAUGUGGUUUAAAGGGGAUUUAGGGCACGAGUUAAAAAUUAUUAAAGUGAAUUAGGAUUAAUUUUGAUUUGUGGUUGUUUUGAUUCGUCGUUAUUGUUACUUUCACGUCUAAUUAUCAAUUUUGUGAUAGUAUCAUGAUAAGUCAAGCGGGUAGGCAAUCGAAGGUUCGGGUAGGCAAAAUUUAGGAAUAAGUGUUUCGUUGGAUGUUGGAAUGUGCGUGUGAAUGUUUCUUUCUAGUUUAUCGUGUUUUAUUUAGAUGUAUUUAUUUAGCCGGGGAAUGCCUCGAGAUCACUUGUAUUUAUUCACCGGGGAAUGUCCCGACGUAUCAUGUUGGAGGAAAAUGAUCGUGAUAAAGGCCCGCGGCGUCGGAUAAGGCAUUGGAGCUUAGUCUAGAUUAGUUUAGGCUAGGAUUUAUAUUUUUGUAUUUUUUUAUUUUUCGGACUGUAUAAUUGGACUGGACUUUACAUUUUUGGACUUUUUGUUUUGUUUAUUGUUUGAUUAUUUUGCGUUCUUUUGUGUGGUUUAUACAUUUCAUAAUGUCAAAAAUAGUCGAUACACUCUACCAAGUGACCGUGGUUGAACCACGGGAUCGAGGGGGGCCUAACACUUUCCCCUCGGUCAACAGAAUUCCUUAGCCGGAAUCUCUGUCCGCAAACUAGUUUAAGAGUCAAAUGGUUUCGAAAAGGAUUUCCCAAAGGUGACUUGGCACACCGGAGUAAGCCAAGUGGCGACUCUGAAUAAAAAAUGUAAAUAAUCCUUUUUUCGAAAUAAAUUUUCAUUUCUUGUCACUUAAAUAAUAAAACCCUUUCGAACUUUAAAAUAUAAACGUUUUUUGGAGUAUGCGUAAAAAAGGGGUGUGACAGCUUCUGGCGACUCUGCUGGGGACCUUCUAUGACAAGUUUUCAGAAUUUGAGCUAUUUUUGGAGUCGUAUCGGCUUUGUUUGGCAUUACGAGUGUAUAAGCAUUGUUUGUGAUUUUGUUUGUGUUAUUGUUUUCACUUUUGUGCGUUUUUGUGCUCUUUGUUUAUAGUAUUUAUCCUAUGUGUCACCGCUUUAUAUCUGUCAUCAUGAGUCCACCCCCAGCCUUCUUUCUGCAACAAGUCUAUAGUACACGUGUUGUACACAACCUCUAGUUGAGUCACCCUUAUUUUAGGGGGGGAGCCGUCGGUGUUAUGGAGUAGGUGGAAAACAAAACAUCCACUAUCGACCAUACGCUCCCCCGAACGGCCUUGUUAGUAAAGCACAACGUAGGUCAGCCUUUAGGUCAUGCUUAUGUGCAUCAUACGGAGACCUAGCGGGACCCACAUUACCCUUUGUAGAAGACUCCCCUGUAAAGCAUCCCUACGUGCUAACUGUUGCAUUUUUAAGGGUAACGUGGUCAUUUGACGGACUGAUUUUGAAAAGAAAAAAAAUUGUUUGGAGUAAGGUGCGUAGGUAAAAACGAAAAAGAAAAAAAAAUAAUAGAAAAAGUGAGUCGAAAAGAAUGAAAAAAAAAAGGAGGAAUGUCGUAGUUUAUUUUAGAUUUCUUUAUGACUUUUGUUCUUCACGAUCCAAAAACUCAAAAAGAUUAUUUUUACGUUUUACAUUUGUCUUCUUAAAGUUCCGUAAAUUCAAAAAAAAAAAAAGAAAAAAAGAAAAAAAAAGAAAAAAAAAAAAGAGUUUUGUUUGUCUUUUCUACUUAAUUGUCAAAAAACAAAAAAAAAUACCAAAAAGAUUUUUCUGUAUAAUUGGCGGUGUCAGUCUUGGUUAAAGCGUGUAGUUGAAAAUCCCCCCCAAAAAAAAGUUUUAUUCGUUUAUUUUUGAUUGUGUCUCUUAAGUUAGGAUCAAUUUGUUAGUUAAUCGUUAAUUGUUCAAUCUGACGAACUACGCACCCCUGAUUCUCCUCUUUCGGGAGUGAGAUACGUAGGCAGCCUAUUGUUGGUUCGGGGAUCUUAUUUGAAAAAAUCAAAAAAAAAUAUUUCUUCACUCUCCAUUUAGAGUAGGCGUUUCAUAUACGUCUUUAAAAGAAAACUACAAAAAGAUUUUUCUUUAAUAGGUUUAAGUUUCCUUUUCAUAGGAAAUUCAAAAUUGAAAACCCCAAAAGAUUUUUCUUUGGUAAUCAUAGGUUUCGUUUUGUAUAGGUAUUUUAAAAGUAAAAAAAUGCAAAAGAUGUUCGUCAAUUAUUUUGACAAAUUGUUAUUUUUCUUUUCUUCUUAAAGUUUCAAAAUAAAAAAAAAGUUUAAUUGGCCAUUUUGGCAAAACUGCCCGAACUACGCAAGAUCUGAUUCAUGUACACAUGAUACGUAGGCAACCAACUUUUGGGUUCAAUCUAAUCAUUUUGUUUUGUUGUUUUUCAUUAUUUUCCUCUUUUAAAGAAAAACAAAAGCCAUAAAGAAUGAUAAAAUAAAGGUAGAUAACGAGAGAAAAGAAAAGAGCAGGGAUUGAUACGAAAAAAAAAGAGAAGAAAAAAAAAGAGAGAGGAAAAAAAAAUAAUAAUAAGUGUAGAUAAAAAAUAGUGUAGACAAAAAUCAGGAUGAUGUUAAAAUGAUCUCGCUACCCUCAAAAGUUGGUAGAAAUGAGCAUGAAUUUAGGAUAAUUUUACCAAUGUGAUUCCCAUGAUUGUUGUGUGCCCUAAUCCUAAUGGAUGUCGUCUUUGAUGAGCGUGUUCUUUCAGAUAACAAUGGUAGGUUUGCAGCACUCUGGCUAGUCACCCAUACUUCAUCAGAUCCAAAGCAAAGCUCGCCAUGGCUAGCAGAGAGAUUGGAAAUUCGCUCAUUGACCCAGAUCAGGAUCACAGGGAAGAAAGUUCUGAACACAAUGAUGAGGUAGUAAGGCUCAGGCAACAAUUGAUAGAUUUACACCGGGCAUGGGCCAGCGGAAUGCCUCCUCCUCCGCUCCCUNNNNNNNNNNNNNNNNNNNNNNNNNNNNNNNNNNNNNNNNNNNNNNNNNNNNNNNNNNNNNNNNNNNNNNNNNCACUCCGCAACAUUAUUAUCCUGGCAGUUCUAGUGUGCCCUUGGCAGCUCCCCAAUCGAGACCCGCUGCUCAGUCAGCGCCACCGAUCACACCGGUAUUCGUGGCUCCGCCACCAUAUGAAACUCCCAUAUAUGCUGCGCGUCCACAAUGAGGCUUCCUAGGUCUUCCAGUGAGCCAGUACUGAAGGUUUCAUAUGGUCAGUAUUAUGCCCCGAAGUCUACCUUGCAAAUGAAUGAACCGUAUGGGUACACUCAGCCGCCUACAUUUCCAUUUGAUACAGAGAAACCUGUCGCAGCAGAGGAACAUGAUAUCAUAGCCCAGAAACUGAAGAGUUUAGAGCAGGCUAUGAGAAAUCUGCAAGGGAUCGAAGAUUACAGGAGUGUUUCUUAUAAAGAUCUGUGCAUGUUCCUAGACAUCAAUCUUUCCCCCGAUUUUAAGAUACCUAAGUUCGAGAAGUAUGCAGGACACGGCGAUCCCGUGGCACAAUUAAGACGUUAUUGCAACCAGUUGAGGGCUGCAGGAGGAAAGGAAGAACUGCUCAUGGCUUUCUUUGGCGAGAGUCUUUCAGAUCUGGCCUCAGAAUGGUUUAUCGAUCGAGAUAUCGAUAAAUGGACCAGCUGGGAUGAUUUGGCCUCUGAAUUUGUUCAACAUUUUUUGUACAACAUUGACCUGAUUUCGGACGAAAAAUCUUUGGUCAACAUGAAGAAGAAGAGCACUGAAGGUUUUAGGGAAUACGCGAUAAGGUGCCGUGAACAGGCCGCCAGGGUAAAGCCUCCAAUGAAAGAAAGUAAGUUGGUAGAAGUUUUCAUUCAGGCGCAGGAUGAGACCUAUUUUCAACAUUUACUUCCGACAAUGGGAAAGUCUUUUUUGGAAGUCCUCAAAAUGGGGAGAUGAUAGAGGAUGGAAUUAAGACCGGCCGAAUAGUGAGUUUUGCCGUAUUAAAAGCCACCACACAAGCGAUUCAAGGUGGAUCUGGUGCAUUUGGAGGAAGAAAGAAGAAAGAGGACGUGGCGACUGUCAUAGCUGGAACCCAUUCCUAUCCCAAAAGACCACCUCGCCCCUAUUCCUAAUCCCAAGCCCAAGUCUACACCCAAGCUCCAUAUAUUUCUCCUCACCAUUACUACCCUCCACAAAACCCUUUAUAUUACAUUCCACCACCACCUUACCCAGUAUAUAGCGCGCAGCCAUAUGCCCAAACCCCUUCUUACCCGCAAUGGCGCGCGCAAGCUCCACAAAAUCGUCCAUUCGCUCCACCAAAUUACCCAAACCCCUCCAGAACCAGUUUUCAGCCUAGGCCCGAGUAUAAGAAGGAGAAGGCGGUCAAAAAUCAAUUCACACCUCUUAGGGAGUCGUAUGCUAGCUUGUUUGAUAGGUUGAUAAAGUUGAAGGUUUUAAGCCCAAUUCAAGGAAGGCUUUCAAAUCCACCGCCGAGGAAUCUCAAUUAUUCUUUAAGGUGUGCGUAUUGUUCUGAUAUGCCAGGCCAUGAUAUCGAGAAAUGCUGGUAUUUAAAGAGNNNNNNNNNNNNNNNNNNNNNNNNNNNNNNNNNNNNNNNNNNNNNNNNNNNNNNNNNNNNNNNNNNNNNNNNNNNNNNNNNNNNNNNNNNNNNNNNNNNNNNNNNNNNNNNNNNNNNNNNNNNNNNNNNNNNNNNNNNNNNNNNNNNNNNUACACACCACUGAAGAGAAAUCGGUGAAUAUAGCGGAGUCUUUGAAAGCAAUGUCAUUGAACCAGAAAGGAAUGAGAGAAGAUAAAGCCCAAGAAAGCACAAAGAAACCCCUGAUCACAGUACACGGCGCCAGAAGGCACGUUGAUUCAAGUCAGGAUAAACCCAAGUUGACAGUGGUGGGAGCUCUGAGUCAGCCCAUCUUGACGGUGAAAGGAGCACUGGCAGCACCUAUUAUCCUCAAACCGGUGACCCAACCUUUAGUUGAUACGAAAAGGAUUCCUUGGAACUAUGGGCGGAAUGUGAUGACCUAUUAUGGGAAAGAAGUUGUGGAAGAUGUAGAUGAGGUAGGAGGUUUGACUAGGUCAGGAAGAUGCUUCGUGCCUGAAAGCUGAAAAAAGUCCCAGCCAACGAUGAGUGGACCGUCACCUAUCAAAAAGCCUAUUACCGAAGAAGAAGCCGAAGAAUUUUUGAAAAAGAUGAAAUUGCCAGAGUAUUCAAUAUUAGACCAGUGGAAGAAAACCCCUGCUCAAAUUUUUCUUUUAUCUUUGCUCUUGCACUCCAAGGAGCAUUGUGAUGUUUUAUUGAAGGUGUUAAAUGAAGCAUAUGUCCCGAGGGAGAUUACAAUCAACCAACUUAAGAAAAUGGUUGGAAAAAUCUUUGAGGUCAAUCGGAUCAGCUUUUCUGAUGAUGAAUUGCCUGUUGAAGGUACAGGGCAUAACCGGGGCCUUUACAUUACAGUGAAGUGUGAAGAUUUCUACGUCACUCAUAUUAUGAUUGAUGGAGGUUCAGGUGCAAAUAUAGCAAAUAACGUAGAGGAGACAUUCGUCUAUCAGAUUUUUGAUACAGUGCCAGUGAGUCGUAUCCUUGAAUGGCAGGCUAUACCGGGUCUGCAAUUGUCUUCUGCUUCUAUCAUGAUGGUUAGUGAACUUUGGAAAUACGAAUUUGAGCCAGGAAAAGGUUUGGGAGCAUCUCUGCACGAUAUAGUUCAUCCUAUAUGUCCGAGUGAGAAUGUGGGCACGUUUGGUUUGGGAUUUGAGCCUACGGCUGAAGAUCUGAAGAAAUCCAAGGGAAGGAAAAAUGAAACAUGGUCACUCCCUCGCCCAAUGCCACUACUCAGUGAAUCAUUUGUUAAGAGCGGUAUCACGAAGCAUGUGGAAUUUGAGGUUGAAUUGGUCGAUGACUUCCAGAGCCUUUGUAUUGAAGUUGAUAUGGUCUAAGCAGGAGAAGGUACCAGUAUGGCAGACGUACAAUUCAUAGGCCCAGCUGUCCGGCUCAAUAAUUGGGAAGUCACUUCUCUCCCCGUCAGGAGGGAGUUUUGGUAGUUUAUUUUAUUUUUCUUUCUGUUUAUUCGAGUUAUUUCAGGGUUGUAAGUAUUAAAAUUAAAGACGAAAUCAUGAAAUAACUUGAAGCCAAAGUAAUUCGAGUGGCUCGCUAUCCCAUGUGGUUGUCCAAUGUUGUUCCCGUACCAAAGAAAGAUGGCAAAAUUCGAGUGUGUGUUGAUUACCGUGAUUUGAACAGAGCCAGUCCGAAAGAUGAUUUUCCACUGCCCAACAUUCAUAUUUUGUUAUACAACUGUGCUAAAAACGAGGUUGCCUCUUUUGUGGGUUGCUAUGCCGGAUAUCACCAGAUCAUUAUGGAUGAUGAAGACGCGAAGAAGACAUCUUUUAUCACACCAUAGGGGACUUAUUGUUAUCGAGUGAUGCCAUUUGGUUUGAAGAAUGCUGGAGCAACAUACAUGAGAGCCAUGACCACUAUGUUUCAUGACAUGGUGCAUAAGGAGAUUGAAGUCUACGUGGAUGAUGUGAUUAUUAAGUUAAAAAGUUAGGCCGACCAUGUUAAUAAUUUAAGAAAGUUCUUUGAAAGGCUUCGCAGGUAUAAUCUCAAAUUCAACCCGAUAAAAUGUGUAUUUGGAGUUCCAUCUGGAAAGAUUAUCUUGCUGAGAAUCCCAUCGAUGAAGAGUACGAGCCAUUAAAGACAUAUUUUCCUGACGAAGAAGUGUCGUGUGUCGAUGAAGUCGUUAUAGAUGCUGAUUCAGGUUGGAGGUUAUUUUUUGAUGGAGCUGUCAAUAUGAAAGGAGUCGGAAUAGAUGCGGUUCUUAUCUCUGAAUCGAGACAAGAUUUUCCGGUAACAGCACAACUUCGAUUCUACCGUACUAACAAUAUGGCAGAGUAUGAAGCCUGCAUUCUUGGUUUGAGGUUAGCUGUUGAUAUGAGAGUUCAAGAAUUAUUGGUGUUGGGAGAUUCAGAUUUGCUCGUCUAUCAAAUUCAAGGUGAUUGGAAGACGCGAGAUUUGAAGCUCAUCCCGUAUCGACAAUGCUUGCAGGAGCUAUGUCAACGGUUUGUGUUAGUAAAAUUUAGGCAUAUUCUAACAAUUCAUAAUGAAAUUGCUGAUGCUUUAGCCACUUUGUCUUCAACUCUCCAACAUCCUGAUAAAGCCUACAUCGAUCCAGUGCAUAUACAGAGUCAUGAUCAGCAUGCUUGCUGUAAUGCGGUUGAAGAAGAGCUCGAUGGAGAACCUUGGUUCUUGGAUAUCAAGUGGUACAUUCAGUCAGGAGAAUACCCAGCAUAUGCCACCAACGAUCAAAAGAGGAUUAUUAGGCGUUUGGCUAGUGGAUUUUUCUUAAGUGGAGGAAUCUUGUAUAAGAGAACCCCAGAUCUCGGACUUUUGAGGUGUGUAGAUGCAAAAGAAGCCUCGGCAAUCAUGGUUGAAAUACACUNNNNNNNNNNNNNNNNNNNNNNNNNNNNNNNNNNNNNNNNNNNNNNNNNNNNNNNNNNNNNNNNNNNNNNNNNNNNNNNNNNNNNNNNNNNNNNNNNNNNNNNNNNNNNNNNNNNNNNNNNNNNNNNNNNNNNNNNNNNNNNNNNNNNNNNNNNNNNNNNNNNNNNNNNNNNNNNNNNNNNNNNNNNNNNNNNNNNNNNNNNNNNNNNNNNNNNNNNNNNNNNNNNNNNNNNNNNNNNNNNNNNNNNNNNNNNNNNNNNNNNNNNNNNNNNNNNNNNNNNNNNNNNNNNNNNNNNNNNNNNNNNNNNNNNNNNNNNNNNNNNNNNNNNNNNNNNNNNNNNNNNNNNNNNNNNNNNNNNNNNNNNNNNNNNNNNNNNNNNNNNNNNNNNNNNNNNNNNNNNNNNNNNNNNNNNNNNNNNNNNNNNNNNNNNNNNNNNNNNNNNNNNNNNNNNNNNNNNNNNNNNNNNNNNNNNNNNNNNNNNNNNNNNNNNNNNNNNNNNNNNNNNNNNNNNNNNNNNNNNNNNNNNNNNNNNNNNNNNNNNNNNNNNNNNNNNNNNNNNNNNNNNNNNNNNNNNNNNNNNNNNNNNNNNNNNNNNNNNNNNNNNNNNNNNNNNNNNNNNNNNNNNNNNNNNNNNNNNNNNNNNNNNNNNNNNNNNNNNNNNNNNNNNNNNNNNNNNNNNNNNNNNNNNNNNNNNNNNNNNNNNNNNNNNNNNNNNNNNNNNNNNNNNNNNNNNNNNNNNNNNNNNNNNNNNNNNNNNNNNNNNNNNNNNNNNNNNNNNNNNNNNNNNNNNNNNNNNNNNNNNNNNNNNNNNNNNNNNNNNNNNNNNNNNNNNNNNNNNNNNNNNNNNNNNNNNNNNNNNNNNNNNNNNNNNNNNNNNNNNNNNNNNNNNNNNNNNNNNNNNNNNNNNNNNNNNNNNNNNNNNNNNNNNNNNNNNNNNNNNNNNNNNNNNNNNNNNNNNNNNNNNNNNNNNNNNNNNNNNNNNNNNNNNNNNNNNNNNNNNNNNNNNNNNAGAUAUUGAAGGCAAAAUGGCAGAAAUGGCUAUCAAUGCUGAUGCGGUCAAAAGAUACUACGUAUGAUAUUUGAUCAUUUGUUGAUGUUAUUGCAUGUUUAGUACUUGCAUUUUGAAGAUUGAUAUGAUGAAGGCAUUUUAUUCUUCUAUCCAAACAUUGUGUCAUCCCUUGUUUACCCAUUUGAGUUUCGUUUUAUUUUUCUUUCAUGUCCCUCUUUUGGAAUAAAAAUAGAGUCAAAGAUAAAUAUCAAGAAAAUAAGAAUAAAAGGAAGAGUUCAGAAAUAAAUAAAUAAAAAAAAUAAAAAAAAAUCAAAAUCAAAUCAAAACAAAGAACAAGCUGAUGGAACUACGUCCGACCUGAUUCUCCUCUCUCGGGAGUGAGAUAGGUAGGCUGCCCUAUUUCGGGCUCGAUCCAACCAAAUAAAGAUCUAAGAUUCACCCAAUCAACAAAACUGGGGCAUGAGUUAAUGUGUUGCUUGAGUCGAUUCCAAUAGUUGUAAGUCCUACCCCUACUUCAAGUAUCGUUUGGGCCUCUUACCAUUUUUUCUAAACCUUAACCAAAAGCCAAGUUACAAACAAAGAAAGUCCUUCAGAUCAAUUUUUGAUAAUAUUAAGGCUAAGCAUGCAAUGGAUAUGAUGAUACAUUGUGAAGUACCAUUUGUCUCCCUCAGCAUGAGAAAUCAGGAAAAGAAAAUAAAAAUGAGAGAGUCUUAUUGGUGAAAACCCUCCCGGAGAGCAUAAGGCGAUGGUGAGUUGAGAGAAAAUGAAAAUGAGAGAGUCUUAUUGGUGAAAACCUUUGCAGGCACCAUAAGGCGAUGGAGAGUUGAGAGAAAAUAAAAAUGAGAGAGUUUUAUUGGUGAAAACCUUUGCAGGUACCAUAAGGCGAUGGUGAGUAGAGAGAAAUAAAAAUGAGAGAGUCUUAUUGGUGAAAACCUUUGCAGGCACCAUAAGGCGAUGGAGAGUUCAAGAGAAAAGUGAAAAAUGAGAAGAAAGAGAUUUGUUGGCGAAAGUCUUUUAAGAUGUCGUCAGUCGAAUGUGAUGUAUAAGUUCAAUGAAUUUGAAGAAGCGACUCAGCAGCAAAGGCAUGAACUCAACAACAAAUGGGGAGUUUGGAUUAGAAGAUCAUGCAAUUCAAUCCAAAAUGCAUGUCAUACUCAUUGGAGUUGGUUGUCGUAUUCAGAUAAGUUUUCUUUUUGAAUAUGGGACAUUGCCCUUUUCUUUCAUUUACGCAUUCAUGCUUUUGUCUUUUUAGAUCAUUUAUCAAAAUAACAGUCACCAUCAUUUCUUUACAUUUUGAGUCAAGUCUGUGUCAUAACAAGCGAGAAAAAAUUUCAAAAUUUACUACCAGUCUUUCCAAUUAUGUGAGGAAAAGCCAAGGAACAGAGGAAGUCUAUCAACCAACAGGCUACUGGAUUCGUAGAAAUAUUCGGAUUUGGGAAAAGAGUGCACCUCAAGGGCAUGGUAAAAUAGAAACCCAUUGUUCGAGUCAGAACUCAUUUCUCUCAAUCUGGAUCCAGGUCGAUGAUGCAGCAAGACAGGGCAGGUGUUAGCAAUUUAGAACAAAGAUGAAAGGAGUGAGUGCUGGGCAGAUACCUAAAAAGCCAAGAUCUGCAAGCCACCAUUAAGUUUUUAACUGACAAAUUUUCUUUGUUGAAACAGGGGUAAAUUUGGUUCACUUGAUUCAGCUACCAUUGGAAAUGCACAUCCGUGGGAUUUUACUUUCAAUUUAGGACCCUCUUGAAAAAUGGAAUUUUACUUUCUGUUAGGACCCUCCUGAAAAAUGGGAUUUUACUUUCUGUUCAGGACCCUCCUGAAAAAUGGGAUUUUACUUUAUGAUCAGGACCCUCCUGAAAAAUGGGAUUUUACUUUAUGUUCAGGACCCUCCUGAAAAAUGAGAUUUUACUUUAUGUUUAGGACCCUCCUGAAAAAUGGAAUUUUACUUUCUGUUCAGUGAUUUUUACUUUCAGUUCAGGACCCUCCUGAAAAAUUGGAACUUUACUUUCUGUUCAGGACCCUCCUGAAAAAUGGGACAACGCUUUCAAAAAUGAAAUACUACUUUACUAUAAUUUUGUUUGAGAUAAUUUUCUUUCUAGUUUUAAUUUUGGGUUUCAGGAGCCCGCUUGAAGAACAGGAUGAUGAAAUAACAAGUCAGGAGCCCGCCUGGAGAAUAGGGUGAAGAAACGAAAAGUCAAGCAAUAAAGUGAAGCAAUUGAAAGCCAAACAACAACAAGAAAGAAAUUGCAAGUCAGGAGCCCGUCUGAAGAAUAGGGUGAUGAAAGUCGAGUCUAGAGCCAAUAGAAGCUGUAUAGAUAGGAUUUUUGUAAUUUUCUUUAUGUUUUAACUUGUAAUUUUCAUUUUUGAUGUAAUAAUAGAGCCGCGGACCGGAACCUCGAUGGAACCUCACUCGACUCUCCAACUCGGUAUAGUCCAUUCCUCUUCCAAUCCUUUGAAAUACCCAUGACUUGAUUCUCUCAUAACUUGGUUGGGUAGGCUGUUCUAAUUCAAGACCCGAUAAUCCUUCUUCUUCUGUUUCUUCCUUUGAAUAAUGGUCGGGACAAAAUUCUGUCUCGUUGUCUACUUCUUUAUCUGAAAACACUGCGUGCUUACAUUCAAAGGGGGCAUGAUGUAGACACGUAAUUUUAUCCCCCUCAAAAGUUCAUUUUUAUUCAUUUCCACCUUAGCAUAUCAUGAACCCUCCCCCACGUGAUUACACCCCACAAAAAAUACAAAAAAAUAACUCUUAACAAAAUUCCUAACAAACUUUUAUUCUUUUAAUACCUUAACAACUCUCUCCAAUAAAAAAGUGACAAAUCACCACCUCACCACCCCAUACCCUACCCCUUACCCCUACCCCACGUCACCCCCCUCUCUUUUUUUCUUGUCCAAGAAGAAAAGACUCAAAAUACAAUAUAUACAUACCCACAUACACACAAAAGAGGAAAACAAAAAAAACGGAUGAACAGUAAAGUCAUCAGCUUUUUCUCUCUCUACACUCUACUCUCUCUCUCCAAAAACUAAAAAGAAAAAGGGCUCCGUUCGCCGCCUCUCCGUCGUCAUCGUCAGCCGUCCAUCGGUCACCGCUCCAACUCCCGAUCUCUCUCCUCUCUCCGGCAAAGCUGCCGUCCGUCAACCCUCCCUCCGUUAGCCGGCGAAACAGUCACCGCAGGCAAACACCGUUCGUCGGCUAGGGACCCGAACCGACCACCACCUUCUCUCAGUCGUGAUCUCUCUUCUCCUCCGGCGAACUAGCGCCGGCACCGCUCCGUUCUCCGCCUUCCAGAUCUGUCUCGUCACCGCCUAGAUCUGUCGCCGCCGUCACCAACAAAACCCCCAUUGCCGUCGGAGAAGAAAGCCAAGUCAGCUGCUGCUCCGCCGCCAGCAGUCGCUGCUCCGGCCGCGGCGCGUCGGCCAGCUCCAGCCGCAGCUCGUCCCUUCGACUCCGACGAGAUUUCGCGUAUGGGUCUUCUCGAUUUUUCAUAAUUUCAGUCUCGGUUCAUUUGGUAGUUUUGAAUUUGAGAUCUUGGUUUGUUUAUGAGUUUUAUUCGGGCUUAUGGAUUAUUCAUCGUGAGGUUUUGUUGUGGUUUUCCGAUCUGUCCGGUUGAAUUCAAUAUCGAGUUUGGAGUUGUUCGUUGUGAGGUUCUCCGAUCGAGUAUUUUGGUCUUUGGAUUUCUUUAUUAUCGACAAGGAUUAGUUUCAUCGAGGUCCAUUUCUUCUAACCGAAUCUUUAAUUUAUUUUGACUUGUUAUUGAUGUUGUGAGUGUGGAUGAUUUAUUACUGUGUGUUCGAUUUGAAUCUUCGUUGUUUGUGUUGUGUUUGAUGUUGGUUUCGGAUUAUGAGAUGUGAUUGGAAAAUCGAAGCAUGCACUAAUCAUGUGGUUUAAAGGGGAUUCAGGGCGCGAGUUAAAAAUUAUUAAAGUGAAUUAGGAUUAAUUUUGAUUUGUGGUUGUUUUGAUUCGUCGUUAUUGUUACUUUCACGUCUAAUUAUCAAUCUCGUGAUAGUAUCAUGAUAAGUCAAGCGGGUAGGCAAUCGUAGAUUCGGGCAGGCGAAAUUUAGGAAUAAGUGUUUCGUUGGAUGUUGGAAUGUGCGUGUGAAUGUUUCUUUCUAGUUUAUCGUGUUUAAUUCAGAUGUAUUUAUUUAGCCGGGGAAUGCUCCGAGAUCACUUGUAUUAUUCACCGGGGAAUGCCCCGACGUAUCAUGUUGGCGGAAAAUGAUCGUGAUGAAGGCCCGCGGCGUCGGAUAAGGCAUUGGAGCUUAGUCUAGAUUUAGUUUACGCUAGGAUUUAUAUUUUUGUAUUUUUCUAUUUUUCGGACUGUAUAAUUGGACUGGACUUUACGUUUUUGGACUGUUUUGUUUUGUUUAUUGUUUGAUUAUUUUGCGUUCUUUUGUGUAGUUUAUACAUUUCAUAAUGCCAAAAAUAGUCGAUAUACUCUACCAAGCUCGUGGUUGAACCACGGGAUCGAGGGGUGCCUAACACCUUCCCCUCGGUCAACAAAAUUCCUUAACCGGAAUCUCUAUCUGCAAAUCAGUUUAAGAGUCAAAUGGUUUCGAAAAGGAUUUUCCGAAGGUGACUUGGCAUACCGGAUUAUGCCAAGUGGCGACUCUGAAUAAAAAAUGUAAAUAAUCGUUUUUCCGAAACAAAUUUUCAUUUCUUGUCACUUAAAUAAUAAAAUCCUUUCGAACUUUAAAAUAUAAAUAUUUUUUGGAGUACGCGUAAAAAAGGGGUGUGACAUCAACAGUGCAACAUCAACACCACCGGAAAAAUUCUUGAUGCCAUCGCGUCAUUCCUCAAAUGUAAGAGAUCUUUUUCUUAAUUGUUGGGUGUUGUUUUGGUGGAAAAUGGAGGAGUAAAAGUGAAUUUUAAUGGUGGAAGAAUAGAGGAAGAAGAAGACAAAGAAAUGAAAUUUUCUUUUCAAAAAUGAAUUGUUAUUGUUGCUUGUUGUAUAUGAGUGUAAGUUGAAUUGGUACUUUUUUUCUUGGUUGUUGGUUGUUGUUUUGGUGUAAAAAUGAAAAUUGAAAGUGUGGUUUAAUAGUGGAAGAGUAGAGAUAAAGAAAUAAAAUUAUUUUUCUUUAUGGAGAAAGAAGUAUUUGGAAGGGAAGAAGAAUAUACUUUUUUUUUUUACUUGUUGUGCUAAGGGGUGGGGUGGUGAUGAUUUUUAGGAAAAUUAUUUUUAUAAUUUUUUUAAUUUAAAAUGCCACGUAUUAUUAUUUAAUUUGUCACUUUGUCAUGUCAUUAACAUGUGUGUCACACGCGGUCCCAAUUUUUUGCUACUUUUCCGUCAAUUUGAAACAAACAUUUUGAUACAUGAAGUGGUGGAUCGUAUCGUUUCUUAUCACUUUCUCUUUCUCUCAGAUUUACCAUUAUACUCUCUUUUCAUGCUAGCCCCACCUUAUUUUCUUAUAUACUAUUUUCUUCAUUUUAUCAUUUUAUUAAUUUCUCAAGUUCGCUUUAAUAGUUUAAUUUACUCCCUUUGUUCCUAAUAAUCGUUACCAUUUUUAUUUAUAGUUUGCUGAAAAAUAUUAAUUGCAUGUUAAAUGAAGAGACGUGAGAGAUGCUAUGUAUAAUUCGGUCACGUCUUUAUUCAUGAAUCUCCCUACACUUUUCUUUAAAUAUUUGUUUUGGUUAUUAUUGUUAGGGUUUUUGUUCUGAUUUUUCUACUAAAAUUAAGUAUUACUUUUUCUUGGAGGAAAAUAAAAGUUAUCAUAAUUACUUUUAUUUUUUCUAAAAGGAAAAUAUAAAUUUUUUUCAUAUUUGACAAACCUCUUUCUUGGAGAAAAGGUUUUAGACAUGUAUAAAUAGAAGACCCCUUCUCAUACCAUAACACAGUAGCAUCCACAAUGUAGUCAUUAAAGAAUCUUUGUUUAAGAAAGAUUUCUCCCAAUAAAUUUAAUGUUUUUGAUAUUAGGUUUUAUAAUAUGUAGGUCGAUUGACCAAAACAUAUAAUAAUUUAAUGUUUUUAGUAUUGUUUUCUUUGUCAUCUGAAUUAUCACCACGAUACUCACUUUCGAUUUCGAACCCAACAAUUAUGUCAUAAAAGUAAUGAUAGAAUAUUUAAGUGUUAACAUUAAUAAAAACUUUCUAUCUAUUAAGAGUGAAACAAUUCAUCAUACUUUUUGAUAGUCCGAAACAAUUUCUAGUAAACAUAAAUAAUAUAAUUUCGAUAUUAUAGGAUUGUAAAAUUAUAUAAUUUAAUAUAAAUAAAGAAAGCAAUUUGUUUGGGGAGAAUAAUUAGCUUGCAAGCCUCUUCCAUGGCUAAUAUAACAUCGCAUCGAAAGAGAAACUCUCUUUCUUCUCCUGUUUCGCGCUUAGAGUUAUAUGCAUCCCCUUUUCUGAGGUAUGUUUUGAAUUCUGAUUUUAUCUUCAUUACCAAGUUGCCAAUCAAAUAUUCCAAAACGGUUUUGUUUCAUGCAUCCUCUCCUUGUUAAAACUUUUCGAUCCCUAUCACACUUGCCCCUUGCUCAUACACCCAUCUCAAUGCAACCUACGCAUAAAGGCAUGGGUACCCCAAGAGGCACCAUUGGCUUCCAAUGGAGAUCGAGUAGGCACUUACAUGAACACCUUUCUCGUUACAAUACUCCAACCAUUUUUUCUCUUGCCAUGCCACAUUUAAUUCGAUUUCGGAGUUAAAAGGGCUCUUUUUUUAAUCAAAGAUAUCAAAGGGGACAAUUGAUUUCGGAAAAAAAAAACAAAAGGAAUAAAACGCGGUGGGGUCAGCGACUUAUAAGUUCGUUUGCAUCAAUUACUGUAACUGGUUAAAUCUCUUAUAUGCCCCCUUUUAAAAGAAAUAAAAACAAUUAAACUAUAGAAAAUCUAUAAAUAAAAUACACAAGAUUUCUUGCAAUGUAGAUUAUUCCUCCUACGUACACAUGGUUUUCUAGAGCUUUUUAUAUUUGUAGAAUGACAUUAUUUUAAUAAGAAACUAAAUAUAUUUUCGCAGAAGUUUGGUAUUAUUUAAGCCUUUAUUUGGUAGGAAUUUUAGCUAGGUAAGAUGGAGAAUCUAAUACACAUAUUGGACAUGGUACUAUUUAAGCCUUUGUUUGAUAGAAAUUUUAGCUACACACUCUAUUCAAUAUUAUAAGAUGUAUAACUAAUAGUACAUAGCAAGCCAUGGUAUUAGCGAUGCAUAAGGUAUUAACACAUGGAUAAACAUGGGUAAAGACAACUAUCUUUAACACACCGAACCAAACAGUAAAUAGGAAAUAGUCUCCACAUAUCUAAUCUCAGCAUAACUAAUCUCAUCAUUACUAAUACACUAUAUUCAAUACUAUCCUUAUACAUUCUACAAUGCGAUCCCUUAGCUUACUGAAAAGUUCAAAAAGCUAUCAGCUGCAAAGCCAACAAAUGCAGCAAUUUCAGAUCUUAAACAAACAAUCAUUCAACAACACAAAACAUGCAGCUACUUUGCAUAACAGUGAACAUGCAGCUCAUGUGCUUCUCUGUAUUUACAUGCAGAACUUUACAUGCAGAACUUUGCAUUUCUUGUGAGUUGACAUGGGGUUACAGUAAUAAGUCGCUGGACCCAUCACGUUUUGUUCCUUUUAUUUUUUUUUGAAAUCAAUUGUCCCUUUGGUAUUUUUAAUUAAAAAAGAACCCUUAUUUUAAGAUGUAUUUCUUAAUCAAAUUGCCCGUUUUAAAUUCUAGUCAAACAUUGUCACAUAUAUUGAUAGAUAUUCUUGAAUGAAAACGCAGAUUCCAAAGCAUUUUUAUUGGGAUUCAACUUAUUUACGUACUCAGUGAUGAGUGGGUUUAAUUUAACCAGUUAUAACAAAUAAUCUAUCUUAUAUGUUUUAGUUAAGAUCUAUAAGUUGUAGUUAUCUUAUAGAUGAUGAGAUAAUGAUGUAAAGUUUGAAGUUAAUUAAAGAAUUAAAUCUGUGGGACGACACUCGUGCGAAAAUAUUUAUAACAAUACCAUAAAUUGACUUGAUUACCUAACUAACUGCUGGAGGAAUGGUGGCAAUUUGGAGGAGGUUAGUGAGCUUGGUACAACUGAAAUUGCUGACACCAAUAGACUUAGCCAGACCUAACCUGCAGCACUAGUCUUCCAUGGCUUCCCAUAGUACCCCUUUCAUAUCAAAAGGGACAACGUCAAUUCCUUUUUGGCUCUAAGGAUAUCAAUCCCAGGCAGCUUCAUGCUUACUGCUUACUGGCCAAUGUAUUAGAUACAAGUCCACGAAAUCUAGUCCCAACCUCCUACAUUAAUUCAAAUAAGAGCACUUCGGACAGAGACUGAUUCAGAAUUUUAAACUUGUGGGUUCCCAAGGGUUCCUUUCUUGUCACUAAGUUAUCCCUCGGUUUAGUUAUGAGUUCCUACCUAUUAAUAUUUAUAACUUUUGACGAUUUUUCUAUGUAAUUUUAAUUCUUACGAUAGCGAGUGUGGGUUCCCGAAAACCCACAUUUUCUACUCUACAUCCGCCACUGCUUCGGGGGUUCAAAGGUUAAUAAAAGAGAGGGAUGUUUUUCGGUUCCCCCAUAGAUUAGCUAUACUUAUUAAAUGAAUUUUCUAAAACAAGUACAAGGUUUGAGCUGAGAUUAUUAAAUUUUGGCUAACCCGUAAUUACUACUCACUUUGUUCUAUUUUACUCGUCUCAAUUUAACAUUUCACAUUGAUUAAAGAAAAAUAAUUAAUAACAUCAUUAUUUUACCAUAGUAUACCUAGUAAAUGAUGUUUACAUUUUAAUUUGAAUAAAAGCCAGUUAAUACUAAGGGUAAAGAAGAAAAAAAAUUGUCUUGUCUUGAUUAAUAAAAAUGACAAGUAAAAUGACAAAAUCAAAUUAGAAAAUUUGGGACGAGUAAAAUGAGACGGAGGGAGUAUAUAUUAUGAUUUCAAGUUCCAACGCCUGACUGAGAAUUGAGAUGACCUAAUUAACAUUCGAAAACUAAGCCAAGGACUACUAGAUGUCUCGGAGAGGGACUCCUACGUUGAGACUUUACUCAUUAUGAAUCCGUAACUAAGUCUCUAGCUCUCCCUCCUCCGAGCCAUAGGCAGCCGCCGUGUCGAAAUGGCGGUAACCUGUCUCAAUAGCCUCAAUGAAAGUGGAUGUUAACUCAUCUAUCGAUGGCAAGGGAAAUUUUGCAGUUCCCAUGCCUAACAAAGGCAUUUUGUAGCCUGAGUUUAGUACGAGUUCUGGUCUACGUCAGUGCCGGCUUUAGCCUAAAGCCACUAAAGCUACACUUUAAUUGGAGGCCUCAUUUCUUUAGCAAUUAUAAAUUUAUAAUUAAGAUUAUUUUUUAUUAAAAAUUAUUAUUCAUUUUAAUGUUAUUUUAGUUCAAAGAAAAUAUCAUAUUAGGAAGAUUGAAAUAGACAAUUGUUUUCAACUUUAUCCUUAACAUCAAAGAAGAUUUAUUUUUAGUACUUCUCAAUUUUAAACAAAAUCUAAUAAAUAAGGCAACUUAAUAACUAUACCUUAUAUUUGUUAUUUUAUGUAAUGGAUGUGAAAUGAAUUAAAAUAAUAGUUAUAGUGGGAUGAAGGGAGUAGAAUGACCAGAAAUAUUUCAAUAAAAUAAUUUUUUUUAAUUAUUUUUCAAAUGUUUAUAAUGCAUAUAGAGUCCCUAUAAUAAUUGUCUCAAUUGAAAGAAAUUUUUAAAAUUAAAAUUAUUAAAAUCAUACUUAAGAUCAACAUCAUCUCAAUAAAAAUGAAAUGAUUUAAGUAUACAAUUAAUUAAAAUGAAAAUUAUUGAAAGAAAUGAUUGUAAAACAAAUUUAUUCAUAAAUUUGCAUCUCAGAAUGUUAUAGAAAUAAAUUUCAAAUAUAAAAAAUAUACAAAAAUUUAUUUUAAGGCCUCGUUUUGAAGUUUUACUUUAGACCAAAUAAUAUAUUGAGCCGCCCCUGGUCUACGUGCACUACUUCUUUCUCCAUCUACACAAUUAUGAUUGAAAAUACAAAUUGAAAAAUGUAGCAAAAUACAUGUUAAAAAAAAAGUCUAUAGAAAUAAUUAGAGAAAAAAUUAUACAUAUCUUACUGAUGAUUGUUGAUAAGUUUGCAAUUGUAUUACGCCUUUGAGGAGCUAAGCGGUUCAAGGAGUGAAAUAUAUGAUGUACUAAUAGAUAACUGUAGACUAGAGCUACUUAAAUGAAGGGUGAAAAUGCAUGCAACAUGACGCAGUCAACGAAGCAUUAUAAUGCCACCACUCUUUUUAUCAGUGGCGGAUGUACAUGCAUUUCAGGGGUUUAUUUGAACCCCCUUCGUCGGAAAAUUAUACUAAUUUUACAUGGUAAAAUUAUUUUUAUGUAUCAAUAGUAGAGGCUGAACCCCCUUCGACUAGUCCGUAUAUGUACUACUGAACCCACUCACUAAAAAUUUUGAAUCCGCCCCUGCUUUUUAUCAGUCAACUUUAAGGAAGAUAUAACAGACAAAAUAUAUCCACAAGCUAAAAAAAAUAAUUUAAUUUGUCAAAUUGAAGCCCCUUAGCUUCCUUCAGCGUCUUUACCUGAUAAGAAGUUAAGAAAACCCAAAAUACCUAAAUAGAAUUGCAAAAGUGAUGAAAUCUCAGUAAUGGAGAUCAAGUUCAAUGGACUAGUACAUUGAGGAAGAGAGAGAACUCAGAGAGAGAAAGAAUUGGUAUUGAACAAAAAUAUCUGAGUUAGUUACAAGUAAUGCCUACUCAACUAUAUAUAUACAUGAGUUAGGUAACUCACUCUAGGCUCCACUUAUAAACUUACAGUUGUACAACUCCUAACUAAUUCUGUUACAACUCCUAACUAAUUCUAUUUACUGUUUCCUAUCAUUCUCAACACCCCUCCUCAAGCUGAUGCUUGAAAGAUGUCUUUCAAGCCUAGCUUGGACAUUAGAUACAUGUGUCGUGAUUUCCCUAGACCUUUAGUGAGUAGGUCAGCUCGCUGCUCCUUGGUUGAAACAUGAUGAGUCUUGAUCAUACUCUGCACCAGUUUUUCCCUUACAAAGUGACAGUCGAUGUCAAAGUGCUUUGUCCUUUCAUGAAAGAUUGGAUUAGCUGCAAUUUGAUAGCAGCUUUGCUGUCACAGUAGGUAUCUACAGUUGCGUGAUCUCUACUCCCAGUUCUCUGAACACCCCUAUCAACCAGGUUACUUCUGCUACAGAUGAAGCCAUGCUCCUGAUCUCUGCUUCAGCUGAUCUCCUAUAAAUGGUUUCUUGCUUCUUGGACUUCCAUGAUACCAUGGCCUCUCCAAACUUAACUAAGUAACCAGUAACUGAUUGUCUAGUCUGCAAACAUGAACCCCAAUCUGAGUCAAAAUACAUACUGAGUAUAUUAGUAUUAUAUGAGGGCAUGAGUAAUCCUAGUCCUGGUGCAGAUUUGAUAUACCUCACUACCCUUAGAGCAACUUCCAUGUGUGACUCCUUUGGUGUAUGCAUAUACUGACUUAGAACUUGAACUACAAAGGCUAUAUCAACCCUUGUCAUUGUAAGAUACAAUAAUCUUUCCACAAGUCUUUGAUAGCUUCCAACAUUUACUAAAAGUUUGUAUUUAGAGGUUCUGCAGUCUUGCACAUGAGUAUCAUAUUCUCUAGAUGUCAGUUUCAAAUUUGCUUCAAGAGGGGAUGAAACAGGUUUUGCUCCACUUAGUACCAUUUCAGAUAUCAAUUCUAAAGCAUAUUUCUUUGGCUCAUCACAAUACCUGCUUUGGAUCUCGAAAAUUCUAUGCCUAGAAAGAACUUCAACUCACCCAAGUUUUUCAUCUCGAACUUCAUUCUCAGAUCAGUCCUUGUCUUAUGAAUUAGAUUAUCACAACUGCCAUUAACUAAGAGGUCAUCUACAUAGACUAGGACCACUACCAGAUUACUUUCGUCCCUCUUUGUGAAGAGUGAAUAGUUAUAAUGAAUUUGAGAAAAUCCCAGUUGCAACAAGGCUGUGGUUAACUUAAGAUUUCACUGCCUUGAGGCUUGUUUAAGCCCAUACAAUGACUUGCGUAGCUUGCAUACUUUACCAGACUCCCCCUGCUUGUAAAAACCUUGAGGGAUAACCAUGUAUACAUCUUCAAGAAGAUCACCUCGUAGAAAGGCAUUAUGAACAUCCAUUUGGAAAAUAGACCAGUUUUUGGAGGCUGCAACAGCUAACACUGAUCUGACUGUCACCAUUUUAGCAACAAGAAAGAAGGUCUCUGUAUAGUCCAGCCCUUUCUUCUGACUAAAACCUUUAGCUACAAGUCUGGCCUUAUACCUUUCAACAGCACCUUAAGCUAAAUACUUGACCUUAAACACCCAUUUACAACCAAUAGGAUGCUUUCCAGGACGAAGAUCAACUAUACUUCAAGUUUGAUUAGCUUCUAAAGCAGGUAUCUCUAAUUGCAUAGCUGCAAUCCACUUUAGGUCAGCUGCAGCUUCAGAGAAUGACUUUGGUUUUGGAAUAGCUGAAUAAGAUGCCAAUGCAGCACUAUAUAUAGGAGAUAAAGAGGUGUAAUUGACAUUAUUGGAGAGUGGAUAGGUGCAGGAUUUAUUACCAUGUUUAACCACAUAAUCUCAAAGCCAGAUGGGUGGUUUACAGGUUCUAGAGGAUCUUCUUAUGUCAGGAGCAGCAGGUGCUUCAAUGAUGCCAUCAGAACCAAUUUGAGAAGGACUUAGUGAGGGUGUAGGGACACCAGCAAUAUCAGUAGUCUUAUUGUGAGAGGGAGCAACAGAUUAAUAGUGAACUAUAGUAGUAUCUUCUGUGGUAUUCUGAGAAGGAGCAGAGGAACCUUGAAGUCCAGACAAAGUAGGUUCCUCAGUAUGAGAAGGUACAGUAUAUGUAUCUCCAAGUUCUGUACCUGUAUAGUGUAAGACAGAAAAUACAAGAUUAGAAGAUGGAGAAAGAUGUUUAAAAGGAAAAAUGUCCUCCUUAAACACCACAUCUCUACUGAUAAAGAAGUUUUUACCAUGAAAAUCAAAUAAUCUAUAAACCUUUUGCAGCGAGGAGUAACCAAUAAAUACAGCUGGAAUAGCUCUUAAAGAGAACUUGUCACUUGGCCUUACCUGAGUGGUAUAAGCUAAUGAACCAAAAACUUUUAAAUGCUUAAGUGUUGGUGGAGUGCCAUGCAUUACUUCAAAGGGUGUUUUUCCAUACAGAAGUGAGGAUAGUAACCUAUUGAUCAAGUAUAUUCCUGUUUGUACACAUUCACCCCAAAAUCUUAAGGGUACACUGGAUUGGAACCUCAGAGACUUAGCAACAUCCAAGAUAUGUCUAUGCUUUCUCUCCACUACCCCAUUUUGUUGGGGUGUGUAGACACAAGAACUCUAAUGAAUGAUGCCCAAGGACAGUAAUAGAUUAUUUACCUGUGAAUUAAAGAAUUCAUUCCCAUUGUCAGUCCUAAGGAUCUUUACAGAAGAGAGAAACACAUUCUGAACCAUUAGAAGGAUGUUUUUUAGAGCAACUACUGCUUCUUCUUUGGAGCCAAGUAGAAAUAGCCAAGUAUACCUUGAAAAAUCAUCAACCAAGGUGAGAAAGUACCUCUUUCCAUCGUGAGUUGGGACCCUGUAGGGUUUCCAUACAUCCCUAUGCAACAAUUGAAAGUAAGCAGUAGUAGAGGUAGUGCUUAAAGGAAAAGAAAGUCUAGAUUGCUUGCCCAAACGACAGACAAUACAAUGUUCGACAGAGUUCUUAGGAACUUUUACAUUUUUGAAACAAUUCCGUUUAAGUAGAGUAUUAAAUAGAGCAUGACCAAGUCUCUUAUUCCAUAAAAAGAGACUUAUUUCUUCUGAAGGAGCUUCUACUGCAAAUGAUUUAGUGUUAUUUUCUGCAACUGGUUAAGUACCAGGAUUCUUCACGAAAUAGUCAGCAUUCAACACAUAGAGAUCAUUUUCCAAUUUGCCAAUCCCCUUCACUUUCCCACUGAAGAGGUCCUGGAAGAGGCAGAAAUCAGGAUAAAAUCUUGCACAACAAUUCAACUCUUUUGUAAGCUUUGACACUGACAACAAAUUGUACUUAAAUUCUGGAAUAUGCAGUACUUCUUUGAUUUGACACCCUUUAAGUACUUGUGAGUGUCCUAUAUGACGUACACUAGCAAACUCUCCUAUAGGUAAGUGAACUUUACCAUCGCUUGAUGCACUUAGCAGCUUGGUGGGGUUAGUUAACAUAUUUAUGUCAUUAACCAUGUGCUUUGAAGCACCAAUAUCUAUUAUCCACUUAACUUCACUAGACUGAGUUAGAGGUCCAACCAUUAUACCUGAAGCUCUGGCUAUUGAGUUGCCAUUAUUUCUCUUCUCAAGUAACUGAAUGAUUUUCUUAUAUUGAUCGGGCGUAAAAUGUGGUGCCUGAGGCUAUAUCACUCCUGAUUUGUCCAGAUGGUUAGCAUUGUUGCUAGUUGAUCCUAUCAUCACAUCACCUUUACCUAUAGGAGCAGACUGAUAACCUGCAAAAUAGCCACCAAGAAUAUGUCCUGUGUUGUUAGAGUAACUACCUGCAUAGUGAGAUAUUGCGGCAGGUUCAAAAGCGUUCCUCCUUUUGCCCUUAAAAUUAGUCGGAUAGCCAUGAAGCUUGUAGCAGGUAGCUUUGGUAUGACCUGUGAAAUGGCAAUAGUCACAGUAAAGGUUAUUCCAAUUCUUCUUAGAUCUAGAUCCUUGAGAUGAUAUUUGUCUGGUAGGCAUAUUUCCUCAACUACCACUCCUGCUAAAAAACAUCUGAGCAUUUGCUGCACUAGACAUGGCUUGAGAACUUUUGUCAUACACUGCAUCUUUGUUGAUGCUUAGUAAAGCAAGUUCAUCACAUGUGUGACCAUUUUCCCCAACUACAGAAUUGGAUUUCCCUAGAAUUCUCUGACCUUCUUCAGAUAUAGCCAGCUUUUAUACUGAUUAUAGGACUCAUUAAGGCCUAUGAGAAAUUACAUCAAACGUUGAUAUUCAAAGUGAGUAGCAUAAGUCUUAGCUUCUGCACAGUCACAGCCAAUACAGGGCAUUAGGGAAUCAUACUCCUCCCAGAGCUCCUUCAUGCGUAAGAAAUACACAGCUACAGACAUACUACCCUGAGCCAAAAUAACAAUCUCCUUAUGAAGAAACAAAAUUUUGGAUCCAUCCACUUUGUCAAACUGUUCCCGCAAAUCCUUCCAAAUUUUUUGAGCAUUACAUGCAUACACAACUCUAAUUAAGAGCUCUUUGCUCAUUGAGUUCAUAAUCCACGAGAGAACAAUGGCAUUACAUCAUUCCCACAGCUCAUGAAGGGAAGGGGGAAACUUAUCCUUAGAACAUUCACCAUCAAUAAACCCUAAUUUACAUUUUCUUAAGAGGCCAAUUUUCAUAUAACGACUCCAUAGAGCAUAAUUUUCAGAUCCAGAUAGUUGUAUGGAAACUAGAAUGCUACCUGGAGAAUCACUAGGUUGUAGAUACAAUGGAUGAUUGUGAUCAAUCACAAUUGGAGCAUUUGCAGGAUCAACAACAGUUGAAGUACCAGCAGAACUUUCAUGAACACCUUCCUCAGUAGCCAUUGAAUAGAGCACACGAAGCUAUAGAGUAAUAGGCAACAGAGAAUGAAUCAAAUGCACACAAUGUACACGCAGAAAUGCACCAGAGAUAGCAGAACACAGAGCUAAGAUCUAGAUGAUAACUGCUUUUACGACAGUGUAAUUAGUAAUAUUGAAGUUAGUCUAUAAAAUGAGAAGAGAAACAGAGCUGGGAAGAUUCCUAAUGGCUCUGAUACCAUGAUGAAAUCUUAGUAAUGGAGAUUAAGUUCAAUGGAAUAGUACAUUGAGGAAGAGAGAGAACUCAGAGAGAGAGUAUUGGUAUUGAACAAAAAUAUCCGAGUUAGUUACAAGUAAUGCCUACUCAACUAUAUAUAUACAUGAGUUAGGUAACUCACUCUAGGCUCCACUUACUCAUAAACUUACAGUUGUACAACUCCUAACUAAUUCUAUUUUAACUCCUAACUAAUUCUAUUUACUGCUUCCUAUCAUUCUCAACAAAAAGUUCCUUAGGAAAAAAAAAGAAAUAAAUAGAUAUAAAAUAAAAUAAAAUAAAAUCCUCCAAUCCCAUUCAAAAUCAAAUUUUGAUUUUGAAAAACAAAUAAGAAUGAAAUUAUCCGUUUUGAAUGCAAGUAUUCAACUCAUUUUGACCCGCAACCCAUCUAAAAGUUGACUUGGUUUAAGCUAAGUGUAUAGCUUAGAUUCACCCAAAAUUUAUCAAUAUUUUCCUUCUGAAAAAACCUUUGUUUUUUAAUAUCUUAUAUGUAGUCCAAUUAAUUUAAAAAGAUAAAUCGAUUAAAUAAUUUAUCAAAUUAGAAUAAAAUUAAACUAUGUAAAAGUUGGGUCAAUUAAACAUUAACUCACUAAUUUUCCCAUCUUGAUCAAAUCUAUCUCAAUCAAAUUAUACAACGUAAGAGUUGGACUUUAUAGUUUCCUUGCAUCAGUGGUCGAUUUGGUUUCUUUCUUUGAGAUUUCUAGACUAGAAGAAAGUAAAAAACAAUGGGUUAAUGCACUAAAAAUGAGUCAACAGUGUAAUCAACAAAAUAAAAAGGAUGAUAUAUACUUCCUCCAUUUUAAAAUAAAAUAAUUGUCAUGUUUUAACUUUUUGAGAGUCUAUUUAGCUAAUUUUUAAAGUUAAAUUAGAUUUGAUUAAGUCGACAUUUAAAAUAAAAAUUUGGAUACUCUAGAAUAAUAGAUUGCACACAACUAUGGCCGUAACAACAUCAUAUGACAAGGACAUUGAAGCCAUCACUAACAAGAGGCAUAAAAAACAAUUGAAAGACAUAAUUGCAGAAAUGUGAGCAAUGCUAAUUCUUUGCAACAUACAAAUUCUUUGGAAUCAAUUGGCAUUAGAUAAUGAAUCUCUAGGCCUCUCCAAAAUUAUGUAGAUUGUAACAAGUCAUAUGGCCCCUUAAUAUUUAAACUUCAAUUAAGCCGAAAGUAUUUAUGGAAAAUAAAAUAUAAAGGAAUGCAUGUUUAUUAAUACGACAACAUACUAGCUAGGUGUCUCAUUAUUAUCAAAUAUCUUGUUUUGUUUCUUGAGUAAUUAACACUUAGCAUUAUGCAUGUAUUUAGAUUCCUUGCUUGUUCAAAGCUAUUACUAUAUGUCAUAAGUUAAUUACAAUAUCAACAUGGUUUCUUUAUUUCCAUCCUGCUCUGACAUUCACGUCGGGCUAAAAUAACCUUAUUCAGAGAUUAAUAUUUAAUGUUUUUCUUUUGGCCAUUUUGACCAAUUCAAUGACGUUUAAGUGGUGUGUGAGUGUGUAUUUUACUUUACUGUUAGUGUAUAAAAGGAUGUUAUUCAUGGUGAUGAGCAUUUUGAAUUGUUGUCUAAAAGCUAGCAGAUUGAUCGAAUUGAAUAAUGGCAACAACUAAACGUAUAAUAAACAACUCAAUUGCUGUGCUGAGAAUACUUACUCUCUGGGCAUGUGUAGCUGCAGUUGUGCUUAUGGUUACCAACAACUUCAAACUUGAUGGAGACAAAACCAAAUUCAGUGACAUCAAAGGCUUCAGGUGAGUUUAAUUUGUAUGACAAUUAAAUAAAUUUAAUUCGAUAUAGGAAAAUUCGGUUAAAAUUUUGCAUAUUAACGAUUUAUUCUUUCGAAUUUAAUUUAUUUACACGAAUGAUAUUGUAAAAUUUUCAAAUUAUACGCUUAACAUGAUAGUACAAAAAGUUUGUACAUUUUGAUUUUGCACUUCCGAUUUUUUGCUCGAGAAAGUUACUAUAAAUUUAUCUUAAUUAUUGUCAUUCCAUCACUUAAUUAUGCAUGUGAUAUGUUAUAUUUGUAUUAUUAAUUGGUAUUUGACGAUAAAUUUAAUUGCAUCAUAAGUACAGAUAUGUGUUAGCAGCGGCAGCAGGGGGAGUUUUGUAUUCAUUAAUUCAGCUGCCUUUCGCAGUGUAUCAAGCUGUGAAGGAGAAGAGGUUGAUCAAUGGCCAGUUUCUGCCAAUGUUUGAUUUUUAUGGAGAUAAGGUUUUCUUUCCCAUCUUUAAUAUUUUUUCUUCGUCUCAUAUUAGGUAUCAUCAUGUCUUGUUGAGAGACAAGCUUUAUGAACUCUGACUUGCAACAUAAAUUGUAUAAUUUUUGCAUAUUUAAAUUUUAAAUAUUAUAUUUUGAUUUGUUCUAAUCCUAUUUAGCUUCGAAAUGAGACAAAUUGACUCUCAAACAAGAAAACAUGAAUUUGGGACAAAGAGAGUAACAUGCGUUUGUUUUGGUAUUUAAUAAAGUGCUUGUAACAACAAUAUACAUAGUAUAUUUCCACAAAAUAGGGUCUGAAGAGAAUAAGUGUAUGCAUUCCACACCACUAUCUCAGAAGUAAGAUAGAGAGAUAAACUCCAGCUCACCAAAAAAAUAUCAACACACAAUAAAGUGCUUGUAAGAGAGAUAAAAAAAAACCCAGUUACGAAUUUCUCAAGUGUACUUACAUAUAUAAACACCAAAAUUCAAUAUAAAGCCAUUUAUAAGGGUUUCACAAUAAUAUAUACUAGUAUAAAACAAUUUGACACAUAUUAAGAAGACAUGGAAAUCUGAUCUUUUGCCUUUUAUAUUUUUAAUUGAGGAAAAAUGAUUUUUUUUUUAUAUUUUUUAUGUGUAGAAAUAAAUAUCUAUUAGGUGUAAAAAUUAAAAUCUCUAGUAAAAAGGACAUAAAUUUUAAAAAAUUGUAAUAAAGAGCUAGUAAAUAAUUUUUCAUUUUUCAUCCGUUAAUAACUACGUAGUAAUAUAUUUCACUGAAUAGGCUCCCUUCUUUUGUAAAACGCGUAAACAUCCUAAUGGAGCUUCCUAUAUUAGAAAAGUUUGCCAUUUAUUUAACAAGCUAAGGUUCGAUUUGGAGUGUCAUUUAAUUAAUAGGUUCACAUCAAUUCAACAACUUUUAUCCAAACUUCGUUUUAACUAAAUAUCUAUAAAUAUUUAAGUGUAAACUCAUCAAUUAUUAUUAUAUAUUAAUUUGAGAUUGUCAUCACCAUACAGGUGAUAGCAUUCUUGUUGGCUAGUGGAGUUGGAGUUGGAUUUGGCGUUAGUAUCGAACUCAAACAAUUAAUAGACCAAUUAGUUGAUGGCUUCGAUUCUUUAGGAGUAACUGGACUUGAUGAAUUUGAGGACAAGACCAAAAAAUAUCUUGAUAGGGGUAUUAUUGCCAGUGGAGUCCUCCUUGUUGGUUUUGUUACAAUGGCUAUACUCACCAUUCUUACUUCUGCCAAUCGCAAUGGAAGAGGCUUUUAGUCCUCACUAAAUGGGAAAUAAAACUUUGUUUUUUCUAUAAUCAUUUCAUUUUGAGGUAUAAUAUAUACUCUUGUACUUAGAUUCUACUAGCUAUAGAAGAUGAAAGUAUGUUACUGUACUAUUCAUUUUGUUGAAUAUAUUCACGUUAUUAUCGAUAUUUUAGAGUGAAGUUUGAGUAAUCUUAAUUUGCAUCGCUUAAGAUUCAAUAGAUAAUGCUUUCUUAUCAUAAGUUUUUAUAAAAUAUAGUUUAACGCUAGAAAUUGAGAUCGAUAUUUAUUUAAGGAUGAAGAGAUCUCAUUCAUCUCAUCAUAUUCAUUGAUGUUCAAGAAAUUACACUCAAUAUUUACCUCAAAUCAUGAAUGUGAAGUGCAUAUCUACAUUCGGUUAUUGUCACUUAACCACGACCAAAUGAUACAUUAUUUCACUUUAAAUUAUAAAGUAUAAAUACCGUAAACGCCAAGUGUUUCAUAAAUAAUUACCAUCUCUUCCAACAUUUUAAAAAAUUACUGAAAAUUCCAUAUACUCGAUUAUAUGAUACAUUGUGUUAUGAUACAUAAGUAUCAUAUUUAAUGCGGUUAAAUAUUUAAUAAGCGGUAAUUAAGCAUAAGACUGUUUAAUCAAAUCCCUAAAAAAUAGGAGUUGCUAUUUUGUAAUACUUAAAUCACGUAACAACACAACUUUUUUUUGAAUUUUGAAUGCCGAUUUCAUUUUUGUUUCAGCUCAUUGCUUCAAAAAAUAAUUUUUUGUCAAAUCUUUCAUACAAUUUUACGUUAUAAAUAUUUCAAUUUUGCUGAGACAUUCUGGUAUCUAGCAAAACGAAAUUAUUUAUGAAAAUUACAAAAGUGAUGGAAUUGUAGUUAGCGAAAGUGUUUCGUAUUUCAGGUUGAUUUCUGUUAUUGCGUCGGAACUUGACAUAGAUCAAGCGAAGAAAAAUAUAGAUAUUCUUUAUAUUGUUGACGAAAAUACGGCUCUAAUGGUUAUUAGAAACAACAAUGGUGUUAAGGUUUACGUUGAGUUAAAAAAAAAUCUUUAUAAAUUUUGUAAUGUAUCCGUUAUGCAUUACAACAAGGGAUAAAUCGACAGAAGAUCGAGAAUUUGAUGUUGAAACUGGUGCGAUGAUGUGCGUCGAAGGAACAGAAUCAGAUGCAGCUACAUUGUAUUGCUUAGACGAAAUACUAACACUUAAUGGAGUUAAAACAUCCAGAAUGACGGUAUACGUAACUAAUAACUCAUUUUAAGUUUUAUUUAUUGAAUAAAUUUUUUUUAUACGUUAUAUGUAUUUUUUGUGAUAAUUUAUUUGUUAGGUCAAGCCUGCAUCAGAGUAUCAUUAUUCAUUUUAUGAAUCUGGAAGAAUAUACGUUGUGGACUUGAAUGCUAACAAAUGUAACUGGGGUAGAUUUCAGAUUGAUAAAAUUUCAUGUUCGCACGCGAUUGUAGUGUUGAAAAGUAAACAUAUUACGAAGUUUUGUCCGUGGUGCUCUGAUGAAUAUAAACCUGCGACAUUAGUGAAGACAUAUGAAGUUCCAGUAGUACUUAUGCCCAAUAAGGCUAUCAUGAAAGGCUACUAAUUUUAUUGCAUUUUUUUUUCAUUAUAAUUAGUUUUAUGAAACAACACUUGUAUGUAACUGCACUAAAAAAUAAAAAUUUUACACAGAUAAUUGAUGCAAGUUUAGGAUUCAUGAUACAAUGUAGCUUUUAAUAUGAUACAUUGCAAGAAUUAAUUGUAAAGACUGUUUCUGAUACAUAACUUUAUAAUAACUGACUUAUUGAGAUUCGUAUUGUAACAUAAGAAUAUAUGAUACAUGAAUAUGUGAUAUCAAAACUGAAUGUGAAUUUUUUCUUAAUUUAUCAUACAUAUUACGUAGUUUUAAAUAUGUUUCAAAUUUUAACUGAAACACUUUGAAGUAAUAUGAUUCAUUGCAUGCAGUACUUGAAAAAAUUCUGUAUGACACAUAACUUUACAGUAACUAAAUUAUUGCAGAUCUUGUCAACAAUUUUCAUAUUAUAAUUCAUCGAUUUGCAUGUGUCGAACAAAAUAAAAAUAAAUAUUGAUAAUAACAUAUCAUUAACUAAAUUUUAAUUGAUUCAAAAGAUUGAUGAAAAUUUUCUGCAACAAAAACAUCACUAUUAAAGCUACAUUGUAUCUGAAAUUACAUUAAUAGAGGCCAAUAAGAUAGCAACAAAAACAAUGUUCAGAGCAUAGCUGUGGAACAACCUAGCAUCUAUUCUAUGGCUACAAUAUUAAACUCAUCAGUCGGAGGAACAUAAAAUGGACGUGGUCUUGGUGAAUCAUCAUGGUCACUAAAAUAAAUGUUCUUAGCCUUUUUAACUUCAUAGUUCCAUAAGAAUGUUGCAUAUAUCUUUCGAAGAUAUUCUGCAUUAACAUUUGAUGAGAGAAUCUGCAUUUGGUUGCUAAGAAAUUCAGCAUAAGCUGCCAAAAAAACUCCACAGUCCGUAAGCAUGACGAAUCAUUUAGUUAGAUGCUUAAUCAUGUGGAGAUUUAUGUUCUAUUUGAACAUAUGCACAUGGACAAAAAAUGUAUAAUAAUGUGUCAGCUUAAAUUAUGUGUAGUUAGAAAAUUUUCAGUAAUAAAAAAUGAGAUGAAUUAUUUCUAGAUAUAUAAAACUAUGAGAAGAUACUUAUAGACUUUCACUGACUUGUUGUGCAAUAUCUUUAGCGUAUUCAACAUGAAAUGAAUUUUGGUUCAAAGCACCGACUCCUUGAAUUAUCUUAUCUGAGUACGCUUCGAGACUUGACCAUACAGUUCAUUCAGUAUUUUUCAGAAAUUCACUGUCACUAAGGUAUGUUGGCAGCAUCACAGACAACUUGUGGAUCUCAUGUGAUGGCUCUCUAUGAUGCGAUGACAACAUUGAGUCAUACACCCAAAUACAUCUUUUCUUUAAAGAUAUCACAGCCAGCACCCAGUAAAAUUUUGUAUCACAAUUUACAGGGACGUAUACAUCAUCGAUCAAGUGCCAAGGCAAAGCAGUCGGUAUGUUAAACCCUUUGAUGAUGUUUAUUAGUGAUCUAGACAUGUAAUUUUGACCCUUUCGAAUUUAAUAUAUAUAUUUUUGGGUAUUAAAUAUUUAUAUUUGGUCCGAUAUUAUUUUAACUCUUAUUUUAAUUUUAAUAAUUUUAGUUGAAAACAAAUAAAUAAAGUUAUAUUUUUGAGAUAUUUUUAUUUUUAUUUUUUCUUUAUAAAAAAGAAAUUCAAAAAUAUUUUUUCCUUUUAAUUUUAAUAAAUAAGCAAGUAAUUUUAAUAUUUUUGACUAUAUUUUAUUUUACGAUAAUUAUAAAAUUUUCUUGCAUUUUCUAUUUAUAUAAAAAAAAUUAUUUAUUAUUAUUUUUAUCUUGUCUUUUCUUAAGGAAAAAAAAAGAAAAUAAAAGAAGAAAGAAAUGAGGGACACAUCCACACACACGCACAAAAAUAAAAAAAAAUAAAAAAAAAAAAGAGGGGAGAGAAAACCAAAAAAAAAAAAUCACUAGCACACAUGACACACACAAACUAAACACUUAGAAAAAUGAGGGAAAGGAAAAAGGGAGAAAACAAAAGGAGAAUAAACAAAACAAAAGAGGACAGUGAGAAAAGUAAAGAGAGAAAAUCAAAGAAGAAAAUUUAGAAGAAAAGACAUGCGGAGAAAAGAGUGUCGAGUUGAAGUCGGAUUUCCGUUUGAGUUUUUGGCGGCGAUACUUCUUUAUUCAAUAUAAUUUAUCAAACAGGUUCUUGUCAUAUCCGUAUUACUUAUUUUUAUAUGUUUCGUUUUGAAUUGAAAUAUGAAUGAAGUUAUUUCAAGGAUUAUUUUAUAUUAUUUAGUAUGUUUAAUUUAUUAUUUUUAUAUAGUUCAUGCUUUAUGUCUUUAUAUGUAAUUCAUUUGUUGUUUAUAAAAUAAAGUUAAAUUAGAUUAGUUUUGAAUUUUAAAUGAGAAUUUUUUUUAUUAGUGUUAAAAAAUAUAACAUUUCAUUUGGUUGUUAUGCGAUUAAUAUAAUUAUGUUGAAAAAUAGAAUUUAAGAAUCAUACAUGCAUAUGCAAAAAAGAAAAAUAAGAAGAAAAAAACAAAAAUGCAGUGUGCGCACACAUAAUAAUCAUGCAUAUUGUAACACCCCGAUUUGCUGAACCUGAACGCUACACGGUGUCCAUGACCCCGACGAACCACAAGCUAACCCAUGGCUGAUAUCUGUACCUGCAUAAUAUAGAACAUAAAUGCGAAAUACGUAAUACUGUAAGGCCAUAAGGUUCAAAACGAAAUAAUCAUAACAUGAGAGUGGGGUAUAGAAUACCCAAAACAACUGUAAUACUAUCUGAAGUCUGAAUAUACUAGUCUGAAAAGCCUCUAACAUGACUAUCUGAAUAGGGAGUUGAUGGAACAUGUCCCCAACUAACUCCGACUAGCAAAACUGAACUGAAAUAAACCAUAACGUAAGUAAUGAUCAUGCCCUCGAGAGACGAGGAAUCACUGCUGGAACUCUGACAGCUGAGAUGCUACUACUACUGCUGGUCUGGAAAUCGUGUAUAUGAAACUAUGGUGUAACAUAAAAGAAAGCACCAUAGCGCGAAUGCGUCAGUACAACUGAGAGUACUGAGUAUACAAGUGAGGUAGGCUAAAUGCAAAGGGUUUGUAUGCAUGAAAAAUGCUGACUAAUAUGAACGUGAGAACACAUACAUACAUAAGUAACUGCUACUGAACUCGUGACGAUACUGACUACUGAUUCUGAAUACUGACAACAUGAGUUUACCGAUUUCGAGAUACUAAAUGAUUGUGUUUACUGAUAUUGAUCUGUGAAUCACUAAUAAGUGAGAAAACUGAUACUGUAUUACUGAAUACUAGGAGACUCAUACUUUAUUACAGAUAAAGAAAUGAUUGUUUCUGGCAGUCCUGAUUAUGAAGGACUAGUCUAAUUGACUAUAUCUGACAGUCCUGAAACUGAGUACUGAUAGCAUGAGUUUACUAAAAUCUAAUAUGACUGGCAAAUAAUUUUUGAUAGCUGAUAUAGCUGAUAACAUUAAUGACUAUAUCUGAUAGCCUUGAUAUUGGAUACUGAUAACAUGGGUGACUGUAGAUGACAUCCCUAAAUCUGAUGGAACUAUCUGAGUUCCAUACUAUAUCUGAGUUGACUGUAUCUGACAGUCCUGAUAUUCUAAAGAACUAUCUGAGUUCUUUUACUGAGACUGAAUGACUAAAACUGUGGGAGGUAGUAGUUUAACCGACAUGCCCCAUGUAUGCUAAUGUAGAUGAAUUGGGGUCCAAUCCUUGCCCUGAUUAGAAGGGUGUCAAUAUCGUGCCACGGGUAAAGACAAGUUGUGAGUGACCCUCAAAUCUGGCAGUGUCCCCAAAAGAGAAUGACGGAUGUCCGCCUAAUCACCCCUCAUCCUGGCAGUGUUGAUGUCUCAACCUAUGCUGGCUACAUAGUUCUGGAACGCAAGGAUGACUACUAAGAAUCACACCCUCAUCUGAUAAUGUGUGUUCCCAUCCUUGGGUUCACUCGGUGCUAACUUCUACUCCCAUCUAAAUAGACACUGAGCAUGACUGACUAAACUGAUUAACUGGACAGAUAGUGUUGCUUAGCUUAGCUAACCUAAAUUUAAUGAGUUACGUUGACUUACGAAAUACUACUGAGAUCUGAGGACUGACUGAAAAAACUGAAGUUACUGAGUACUGAGUAGAACUGGACUGGUACUGAGUUUACUGAAUUUCCAUUAACUGACGGAAUUACUACUGAUGUCUGGUAACUGACUGAGUUUAUGAGAUUACUGAGAUUUCCUGAGUCAUAUGACUGACUGAAUUCUACUGAGCAUGGCUUGACUGAGGAUAUCGUGACAACAUGACAUGGCUCUAGGCACACAGCUAUACUUUUCGGGUACAAGUACCCCCAGGACUUGAUGGAAGGAAACUGACACACAUGACUGACUUGAUCAUAAGAAUAGAGUCCACAAUUCACAAUAUCAUAAGUAGGGGAUUUCAUACUACACAUGGCUAUCAUAUUCUUGGUCAUGAAAAGGGAAUGCAUAUAACAUGUAAAUACUUGCAUAAAUUCAAUUUCAUGAGCAUUCCAUAUUACAACAACAAUGCGUAACAAUUUGCAUGGAAAUCAUGUUGAAGAUAAGCAUAGAACAUGAACUAGUCAUUUAGGACCUAUUAUGUCAUAAAAGCAUGAUUUUUAGUCUCUUAGGUAUUUUCACAAACACCUUACAUGCAAAUCUUUAGCAUAGGUGGAUACAUUAAAAUUACAAGUAUUCAACCACCAAUUUCACAUUUUAUUCAUCAUAUACCAUCAUAGUUUCAUACAAACAUACUAAGAUCCCAUCUUGGGCAUCAUCAAAUUUCAGCAACAUGAUCAUCAACCAUCAACAUCAUAAAUAUCAUAAUACGUAAUUUAGAAGAUGAAUUUUUUGAGCUUUAUGGAUGAAAGGAAUCCAUAAAUCAACACACGCAUACCUUAGUUCGUGAUUCUUGGAAGAUUGAUGGAAAGAUUCUUGAAAUUAAAUCCCCAAUUGAAAAUCAUCUUCUUGUUCUUGAGAGAAAAUAGAAGAAAAGAGUGUAUUUUGGUUGAAAACGGGGUUAAUUCUGUGUUUAUGGGUAUAUAUGGGGUGGGAGAUGACCAAAAUGCCCUUAAGAAAAGAGAAAAGGACGCAGUUGUUCCUCCGUUGACUGUCUGACAGGCUGAAGUAAAUUGAUCAUAACUUUUUACUUAGAAUCUCAAAUUGGAUGACACCAAUGGCAUUGGAAAGAAUACUCUCAUAGCUUUCAUUUGAUAUAUAUCAGAUCUCACAGUUCAUUAUAUACAGGAAGUUAUGAUCAUUUGAAGUUGACCCUGAAAUGCUGAAAAAAAACUAGGCAAGCACUGGAGUUAGCAGGCGGCGCGGGCUAAUCGCCCUGGACUUCUGUUUUGGGCACCCAAAUGUGCCCUUACGCUACUCCAAAAAUUCUAAAACUCACCCGGGAUAUACUAUGAGCUUUCACGAUCGUAAUACAACUUGAAAAUUGAAAAGCGAAUGUCGGAAAGGUCACCAAAUAAAUCCCCGAAGUUUGGAGGUCUAAAAUAAGACUAAGUGUUGAAUCUUGAACACUUAGCAAAAUUUUUCUAAGUCUUGGGAUCUUUCAUGGAGCUUUACGAGCUGAAUUUGACACGCGAUUUUGUGGGGUAUUACACAUAUCAACAAGAUCUGGACUAGAUUUGUUAGUAUAAAAUAGACCCAUAUCAAUAGUCCCUUUUAGUUAUCUCAAUAUAUACUUAACUCCAUUCCAGUGUCUUCGCGUAGGUGAAGAACUAUACCUUGCUAGCAAAUUAACAGAAAAUGCUAUAUCCAGCCUUGUUGCAUUAGCGAGGUACAUAAGUGCACCAAUAGCACUGAGAUAUGGUACUUCGGAACCAAGAAUCUCUUCACCCUCUUCCAGAGGUCAAAAUUGAUCUUUACUCACUUCGCGUGAUCGGACAACCAUUGGAAUACUUAAUGGAUAUGUUUUGUCCAUGUAAAAAUUUUUAAAAACCUUUUCAGUAUAGGCAGUUUGAGAAUGAAGACCCCGUCUGCUAAAUGUUCAAUUUGUAGACCUAGACAAAGUUUUGUCUUUCCAACAUCUUUCAUUUUGAAUUCUUUCUUUAGAUAUACAAUUGCCUUUUGGACCUCUUCUGGAGUCCCAAUGAGAUUUAUAUCAUCCACUUAAACAGCGAGCAUCUUUCUGAGACAUUUAAAAAUGCAAGGAUGUAAUAAUGCACCUUGACAAAUAUUUUUCUAAAAUUAAUUUUCACCGAUUUAAUACAAGAGUUAUAGACAGCUAUUAGACAUUAAAAAUGAGCGAAUUUAGGCCUUGACAUAAUUAUCAAAAUAGUUUUAGUCAAGAUAAGUCAAUAAAAGCGACCGUAUUAGAACCACGGGACUCGAGGGAUGCCUCACACCUUCCCCUCGGUCAACAAAAUUCCUUAUCCGAUUUUCUAUUUUCGCAGACCAAAAUAAAAGAGUCAUUUUCUUUUGAUUAGGGAUUCAAAAAGGUGACUUGGAACACCAAAACUCAAUUCCAAGUGGCGACUCUGUUAAUAAACUAAUCCCUAUUCAAUAUCAUUACUUUAAUUGGAAAAAUCUUUCGAUUCGGCCCUCGAGCGAAAAAGGGGUGUGACAUCUCUGGCGAUUCUACUGGGGAAUAAUAAGAAUUCGAGCUUUUUAUAUUGACUUAUACUUGCUUUAAUUAUUGUUGAUAUUGUGUUUGUUGGCCUUAUGUGCUACUUAUCGCUUAUUUACCGCUUUGAUAUUGAUUGAACUGUAUUAUAUACUGUCUUCUCUUGCGCACCCCCCCUGAGUCUCUGAAAUAGAAUAGAAGGAAUGCAGCGCAUGCAUCCUAAUUUCUUUUUGAGAUAGCCAGAGUGUUAAAGCACCUGGUGAAGGAUUAUAGUCACACAUGUUAGGCGGGGUUCGGAUCGACAAUGAAAGCAGUGUUGCCCUGCUACCGACCAAGUUGUCCCUCCCUGGAUCGAGUGUCCGCUCGGUUAAAUCAGUCUAGACACCUAUCCCUAUUAGGCUCAAACUUAAAAUAACUGAAAACUCAGAAUCUGGUUAUCCCUAUUAGGUGUCGCUUUAUUUGCGUCAUAUGCAUUUGACUUAGCGGAACUCGACACAGGGGUCGGGUCUAUCUAGGACAGGUAACCUACUUUAUAAAGACAAACAUAUGCAUCCUACAUGCUCUUUGCGAUUUGUUUGGAAGAUUAUUUGUUUGUUGACCAGCUUUAGGCAAGUUUAAAAUGCAAGAGAUUAAUUUAUCCUCACAUUUAGUGAAUCAUUUUUCAAAGAAAAUUUUAUUUUACAUAGUUUUACCUUCUUCAUGAACUACGAGGGUCUGAUUCUCACAUCUUAGUGUGAUACGUAGGAAGUCCUUCCAAGAUAUGACCCUAUCUUUUGAAAAAUUAUUCAUAGAUUUAUUGGGGAAUAUUUUGAAAAUAUGAUUACUUUCAUAAUUAUUUUUCUAAUUCUCAAGUCCAAUUUUUUUUAUUUUAAUAGCCCUGAAUCUUUAGGGAUCAUGAGGCUAAGGUUUUACAAAAAUAAAAAUAAAAAUAAUAAUAAUAAUAAUAAUAAUAAAAUAUAUAUUUCAAUAGCCCAAAAUCUUAAGGGAUCAUGGGCUAAGCUUUUACAAAAUAAAUAAAAAUAGAUAAAUUUAACAACCCUAAAUCUUUAAGGAUCAUGAGGCUAAGUUUUUACAAUAUAUAUAUAUAUAUAUAUAUCUUAACAGCCCUGAACCUUUAGGGGUCUUGAGGCUGAAUUUUGUACGACAUAUACUUUAAGAACUACGCACACCUGAUUCUCAUCUUAAUGAGAUACGUAGGUAGUCCUCCAUAGAUUCGGUGGUCUUGAAAAGAAAAAUUUUGGACUCUGACACAUUUAUUUUCUCCAAAAUCAAAAUAGUGUUAAGGUGGUUGGCUUGUGGCUAAAUUAGCAGCUCAACAUUACAACACUAGGUUCAAAGAACAAGCAAGAUGACACACAAUUAUGGUCUAGGGUCGGAUAUGAGGUGGUGUAGACUGUUAUAAAUGAGAAGUACGAAAAACUGGCCUGAAAAGUGAGAAAUUUGGAGUAAAAUAUGAAAAACAUGCAAAUAUUGAGAGAGAAAAAGAGAAUUCUCACAAGGAUUUUUACAUGUUUUAAUGUUCACUUGCCUCUAACCUCCAAAACACCAAAGUUGGACUUGUACGAGAGUCAUGGUCAUCCUUUGACUCAUCUAACAAGGUUUUGAAAUCAAUUAUGAGAAGUAAGGGAAAAGAGAAACUGCUGACGAUUUAUUUUGGAGAGACUUUAAUGGCGAUAACUUCAGUAUAGUUGGAAAAAAUAGACGGUGUCGCAAUGAGGGUGGAGACUCCAUUAAGGCCAACAUGCAAAUCUGAGGCUAAAAUACUAAGUUCGGCAAUUUAGAAGUCAAUCUUCACUCCUCACGAUGAGGGAUUUUUGGUAGUCUGUUUUAUUUUUCUUGUUGCUAUCCGAAUUAUUUUAGGGUUGUAGUUCGGGAUUUAUCUUGUCUUAUUUCUUAUUAUCUUUGUUCAAAUCUUUUUGUCUUUCUGUCAACAAAAUGUGCGUCCCUUUAUUUCUAUUUUUAUUUUUUUUAAAUAUUGUUUAUUUGUCUUUCUUUUUCUUCAUACAAUUCUUUUAUGGUGAUUCUAAUGAUACGAUAUGCAUGAUGAAUUCUUUUGAGAUGUUUGUUGAUUGAGUUAAAGCCUUACUUGAAUGGAUUGAAACAAUCACUUUGUGAAUCAAAAAUGACUUGGUCAUCAAUGAGAAGGUCAAUCUCAAACACUUUAAAUGAGAGCGAUCAAAAGAUAUAUAGUCUCCAUUGUCAGGCAAAGCAAAAAGAAGUUAGCUUAAAAACGCAUGAGUCCUUUAAUGGGAGGAAUGUGAAUAUAACUGGACCUUUUUGUUUGAAAAGUGCAUGAGAAGUAGUGACAUACGUAUUCAGUCAAGGUCCAUAUUGAAAAAAUAUAUAUGAUCUUUAUAUUCACUCACAAAUUGCAUGUUAAGUGUUUACAUUUUUAAGGAUUGAUAUGACGAAGGCAUUUCAUUCUGCUAUCCAAAUGUUGUGCCAUCCUUUGUUACCCCUUUUGAGCUUUAGUUUUCUUUUAUUUCAUACCCCUCUUUUAGAACCAAAAUAGAGUUUGAAAAAAUAAAAAGGUGUCAAGAUAAAUGAAGUCAGAAAAGUGUCAAGAAAAAUGCAGUCAGAAAAAUGUCAAGAAAAAAUGAAGUAAAAAAAAAUGUAUCAAAAAGAAAAUGUAGUCAGAAAAAAAAUGACAAGAAAAGAAAUGGACUUGAAAAAAAAAAUCCCCAAAAGAGAAGAAUCAAAGAAAAGAAAAAAUGAGAGCCUAGGUUCAUUUAAAAAAAAAGAAUGACUUGCCUGAACUACGUUUGACCUGAUUCUUGCUAUGACAAGAUACGUAGGCAACCCUACUCUGGGUUUCGGUCCAACCAAAAGAAAAUUCAAGUUACUCAAAAUGAAAUAAAACUGGGGCAAAAGUUUAUUUCCUUAAAAGAGUCGAUUCCAAAAGUUGUGUAUUUUACCAAAUGUUGAGUAAAUUUUGAGCCCCAUGCCGACCUUUCUUUAUAUCCCAUUCUAAAAGCCAAGCUACAACCAAAGAAAGACCUUCAGAUCAAUCUUUGAGAAUGUCAAGGCUAAACAUGUUAUGGGUGCAUGAUAUUUCAUAUUUUGAGUGUUAUUUUCUAAAAAAAAUGAAAAUGAGAGAGUCUUAUUGGUGAAAACCCUUUUGGGAAUCAUAAGGCAACCGUGAGUUGUGAGAUCAAUAAAACUGAGAGUCUUAUUGGUGAAAACCCUUUUGGGAAUCAUAAGGCAACCGUGAGUUGUGAGAUCAAUAAAACUGAGAGUCUUAUUGGUGAAAACCCUUUUGGGAAUCAUAAGGCAACCGUGAGUUGUGAGAUCAAUAAAACUGAGAGUCUUAUUGGUGAAAACCCUUUUGGGAAUCAUAAGGCAACCGUGAGUUGUGAGAUCAAUAAAACUGAGAGUCUUUAUAGGCACCAUAAGACGACAAUAAGUUGAAAAAGAAAAGAAAAUGGGAGCGGCUUGUUGGCGAAAACCCAUCGAGCUGUCACUAGCCUAAGGAGGAUUAUAAUCUAGAGGGAAUAAAUUCAAGAAUGGCUCCCUUUCAAAUUCAAUGAGUGGGCAAAAAGUGAUAGUGAUUAGUUUAGAUAGAUCAGGUUGUUUAAUUCAAAAUGCAUGUCAUAAUCACUAGAAUCAGCUGCUACACCCAGAUAAAAUUUUCUUUUUGACAUUUUUUUAAAAGAAAAGAUGUUUAUUGUCCUUUCCUAUUCUUUUUGUUAUUUUUAUUUUAUUUCUAUUUUUAUUUUUAUUUUUUAUUUUUGUGUCUUUGUGGUCAAAAGAAAAUCAGUAGCGUCAUCUUUCAUGUAUUUUUGAGUCAAAAUUUUAUCAAGAUAAGUGAGGAAGGACUUCAAAACUUGCUACCAACUCCUUUAGUUGUGCAAAGCAAGACAAAAGACCAACACACAAAGAUAACAUGUUUCAAAAAUAAAGUAAAGUACUCGAGAAUGCUUGUCAUUUGACAGUUUUUAGACUCAUAAAAGUAUAAAAGGUGUAUUUGAAGUUGAAUCCCGAGACAUCAUGCAAGAGAAAUAUGAUUUGAGUCAAAAUAUUUUAGUAGUCGAAAUUUGGAGUCAAUACUACAACAAGUCAACAAUACCUAUCAAUGAUUUGCAAUGGAGCUGGGCAUGACAAGUGCAAGAGAUUGUCUCAAUUGCCAAAUGCCACAAAUCAACCACCGUGUUUUAAAAUUAAAAAUUUUCUUAAAACAUGUUACCUUCAAAUCAAGGGCUCCAAAGCCUAAAUAUUAAAAGAUGCAAUUCCUUGCUUUUGCAAAUGCAAGAGGCGAUAUUGCUAAACAUUUUUAAUAAUCACAAUUAUGGUGAAAACUCAUCAUCAUUUACCCCUAGGAGACACACUUCCUUGUCUGGGUAUUUCAGUUUUCAUUUGUUAGGUGACGCCCUUCCUAACUUGAACAUUCACUCCUAGAAGACGCACUUUCUAGUCGAGUCAUUUCAUUUGACCCCCAGAAGACGCACUUCUUAGUCAGGGUAUGUCAGUUUUUAUUUGUUAGGUAACACACUUUCUAACUUGAACAUUCACUCCUAGAAGACGCACUUUCUAGUCGAGUCAUUUCAUUUGACCCUUAGGAGACGCACUUCCUAGUCAGAGUAUGUCAGUUUUUAUUUGUUAGGUAACACACUUCCUAACUUGAACAUUCACUCCUAGAAUACGCACUUUCUAGUCGACUCAUUUCAUUUAUAACCCCUAGGAGACGCACUUCCUAGUCAGGAUACAUCAGUUUUUAUUUGUUAUGUAACGCACUUCCUAACUUGAACAUUCACUCCUAGAAAACGCACUUUCUAGUCGAUUCAUUUCAUUUGACCCCUAGGAGACGCACUUCCUAGUCAGGGUAUGUCAGUUUUCAUUUGUUAUGUAACACACUUUCUAACUUGAACAUUCACUCCUAGAAGAUGCACUUUCUAGUCGAGUCAUUUCAUUUGACCCCUAGGAGACGCACUUCCUAGCCAGGGUAUGUUAGUUUUUAUUUGUUAGGUAACGCACUUCCUAACUUGAACAUUCACUCCUAGAAGACGCACUUUCUGGUCGAGUCAUUUCAUUUGACCCCUAGGAGACGCACUUCCUAGUUAGGGUAUGUCAAUUUUCAUUUGUUAUGUAACGCACUUCCUAACUUGAAAUUUCACUCCUAGAAGAUGCACUUUCUAGUGGAGCCAUUUCAUUUAAUCCCUAGGAGACGCACUUCUUAGUCAGGGUAUGUCAAUUUUCAUGUGUUAGGUAACACGCUUCCUAACUUGAACAUUCGCUCCUAGAAGACGCAUUUUUUAGUUGAGUCAUUUCAUUUAACCCCUAGGAGACGCACUUUCUUGUCUGGGUAAUUUAAGUUUCAUGUGUUAGGAGAUGCACUUCCUAAUUUUGGUCAUCAGUUUUACUCUGAUGAGACAUAUUUCUUUAGCAAAUCUUUGAUUCACACUCUUUACUGUACUUUUCAAAAGUUGUGAUCUGAUGGCACUCGCAAAAUUUACUAAUGCAAACUGGGGCAAAAUUUUAUUUGUAUUUACUGGAAUUUAUUUUAUACACAGGACCCUCCUGAACAAUGGAACAGGAUCCUCCUGAAGAAUAAGAAUUUAUUUUGUGCUCAGGACCCUCCUGAAGAAUGGGAUAGGACUCUCCUGAAGAAUGGGAAUCUAUUUUGUGCUCUGGACCCUCCUGAAGAAUGAGAAUUAAUUUUAUGCUCAGGACCCUCCUGAAGAAUGGGACAGGACCCUCCUGAAGAAUGGAAAUUUAUUUUCUUCUCAGGACCUUCCUGAAGAAUGGGACAGGACCCUCCUGAAGAAUGAAAAUUUAUUUUAUGCUCAGAACCCUCCUAAAGAAUGGGACAGGACCCUCUUGAAUAAUUAGAAUUUAUUUUAUGCUCAGGACCCUCCUGAAGAAUGGGACAGGACCCUCAUAAAGAAUGGAAAUUUAUUUUAUGCUCAAGUCCUUCCUGAAGAAUAAGAAUUUAUUUUGUGCUCAGGACCCUCCUAAAGAAUGGGACAGGACCCUCCUGAAGAAUGAGAAUUUAUUUUCUGCUCAGAACCCUCCUGAAGAAUGAGAAUUUAUUUUAUGCUCAGGACCCUCUUGAAGAAUGGGACAGGACCCUCCUGAAGAAUGGGAAUUUAUUUUCUUCUCAAGACCAACCUGAAAAAUGGGACAGGACCCUCCUGAAGAAUGAAAAUUUAUUUUGUGCUCAGAAUCCUCCUAAAGAAUGGGACAGGACCUUCUUGAAGAAUGGGAAUUUAUUUUAUGCUCAGGACCCUCCUAAAGAAUGAGACAGAACCCUCCUGAAGAAUAGAAAUUUAUUUAUGCUCAGGACCCUUCUGAAGAAUGGUACAGUACCCUCCUGAAGAAUGGAAAUUUAUUUUAUGCUCAGGACCCUCCUGAAGAAUGGGACAGGACCCUCCUGAAGAAUGAGAAUUUAUUUUACGCUCAGGAUCCUCCUGAAGAAUGGGACAAGACCCUCCUGAAGAAUGAAAAUUUAUUUUUAUGCUCAGGACCCACCUGAAGAAUGGGAUGUUAUUUUUCUAUUUCACCUUUUAUGUUGAGUUCAGGAACAUAUUUGAACAAUUCGAAAUAGAAAGUCCAGGAGCUCGUCUGAAGAGCAGGAUGAAUAAACAAUAAAGUCCAGGAGCCAGCCUCAAAAAUAGGGUGAAGAAAUUGUAAGUCAAGGAGCCCGCCUGAAGAAUAGGGUGAACAUUAUCAGUUGCAAGUCAGGAGCCCGCCUGAAGAAUCGGGUGAAGAUUUUCAAAUCCAAGACAAAAGAAAAGCUGAAGAAUAAAUCAAUUGUCAAGUUCCCCUCUAAUACCAACGAGGAGGAAUAUUCCGUGUAUCAAAUUCAACUCAGAAUAACGACUAUCUCACCGUUUGAGAAGUCAUGAAGAUUCAAGUCAAGAUUCCAAAAAAGCUGAGCAAUAGAUAGGAUCUUUCACUUGUAUCUUCAUUUUCAUUUUUUAUUUUUUAUUGUUUAUUUAGAUAUAAAAAGCAGAAGUCGCAAACCGAAGACUCGAUGGAACCUGACUCGAACUCUAACUUAUUGUCUCACUAUUUUACCUCAUUGAACUACAUGUGACCUGAUUCCCUUAUAAUCCGGGAUAUGUAGGCGGUCCAAAACCAGGACUCGGUCACAUAUUUUAUUUUAUUUUAUUUUAUUUUAUCUUUACUUUUUGAAUAAUUGGAGGAUCAAAAAUCACCUCUUUGUCUACUUUUUUUGUAUGAAAACUCUUCGAGAUUUCACACAAAGAGGGGCAAAAUGUAGACACGUAAUUUUUUACCCUCCUGAAUUUAAUAUAGAUAUUUUUGGGUAUUAAAUAUUUAUAUUUGGUCCGAUAUUAUUUUAACUCUUAUUUUAUUUUAAUAAUUUUAGUUGAAAACAAACAAAUAAAGUUACAUUUUUGAGAUAUUUUUAUUUUUAUUUUUUUUAUAAAAAAGAAAUUCAAAAAUAUUUUUUCCUUUUAAUUUUAAUAAAUAAGCAAGUAAUUUAAAUAUUUUUUACUAUAUUUUAUUUUAGGAUAAUUAUAAAAUUUUCUUGCAUUUUCUAUUUAUAUAAAAAAAAAUUAUUUAUUAUUAUUUUUAUCUUGUCUUUUCUUAAAAAAAAAAUUAAUAAAAAGAAAGAAAUCUUAUCCUAAAAACUACCUCAACCACCCCCUAAUUUCCCUCAACUCCCUCAACUUCCCACCCUAUACCCCUAUAUAUUACAUACCCACACACACGGACAAAAAAAAAAAAAAUAGGGGAGAGAAAACAAAAAAAACAAACAUUAGCAUACACAUGACACACACAAACUAAACACUAAGAAAAAUGAGGGAAAGGUAAAAAGGAGAAAACAAAAGGAGAAUAAAAAAACAAAAGAGAAGAGUGAGAAAAGUAAAGAGAGAAAAUCAAAGAAGAAAAACUAGAGAAAAAGACAUGCGAGAAAAGACCGUCGAGUUGAAGUCGAAUUUUCGUUUGAGUUUUUGGCGGCGAUACUUCUUUAUUCGAUAUAAUUUAUCAAACAAGUUCUUGUCAAAUCCGUAUUACUUAUUUUUAUACGUUUCGUUUUGAAUUGAAAUAUGAAUGAAGUUAUUUCAAGGAUUGUUUUAUAUUAUUUAGUAUGUUUAAUUUACGAUUUUUAUAUAGUUCAUGCUUUAUGUCUUUAUAUGUAAUUCAUUUGUUGUUUAUAAAAUAACGUUAAUUAGAUUAGUUUUGAAUUUUAAAUGAGAUUUUUUUUAUUAGUUUUAAAAAAAUAUAACAUUUAAUUUGGUUGUUAUGCGAUUAAUAUAAUUAUGUUGAAAAAUAGAACUUAAGAAUCAUACAUGCACAUACAAAAAAAAAAAAAAAAAAUUAAAAAGGAACCAAGUGUAUGUCUGCUGCAUUAAAGCUCUCGAUAUGUGUGGAGUUCGAAAAAGGAUCGGACCAUAAGGGUUUACUGUACGCAGCCUUACCUUGCAAUUCUGUCAGAGGCUGUUUCCACGACUUAAACACAUGACAACAGUUUUAUCAGUUACUCCAAGAAGUUUCUUCAUUUCUUUUAAAAAAAUAAGGAUGGGGGAGGGGGGGUGUUACCUUACAAUUAUGUUCGAGGCUGUUUCCACGACUUAAACACAUGAUCUUCUGGUCACAUGACAACAGCUUUACUAGUUACUUUAAGGCUGUCUUUUUUAAAUGGGAACUAAUUAAAGAAAAAGAAAAGAAGGGGGACAAAGUGGAAGAAUGUUAAUUUCCAUCAAUCUAUCUAAAAAGCUAAAGUUAAGAUUGUAAAAAAACGAAUAGAAAAAUUGUUAUGAUUUUUAAAGAAAAGAUUAAGUUUAGAUGUCUUGAAUUCAUAAUAGACUAACCAAUGCUUCAACGCUAGGCAAACUUUAGAUACGUUUAAAAUAUUCGUCUCAAUUAAGAAUGCGGUGUACGCAUCUUUCUGAGACAUUUAAAAAUGCAAGGAUGUAAUAAUGCACCUUGACAAAUAUUUUUCUAAAAUUAAUUUUCACCGAUUUAAUACAAGAGUUAUAGACAGCUAUUAGACAUUAAAAAUGAGCGAAUUUAGACCUUGACAUAAUUAUCAAAAUAGUUUUAGUCAAGAUAAGUCAAUAAAAGCGACCGUGCUAGAACCACGGGACUCGAGGGGUGCCUCACACCUUCCCCUCGGUCAACAGAAUUCCUUACCCGGUUUUCUAUUUUCGCAGACCAAAAUAAAAGAGUCAUUUCCUUUUGAUUAGGGAUUCAAAAAGGUGACUUGGAACACCAAAACUCAAUUCCAAGUGGCGACUCUGUUAAUAAACUAAUCCCUAUUUAAUAUCGUUACUUUAAUUGGAAAAACCCUUCGACUCCCUCGAGCGAAAAAGGGGUGUGACAAGUGAAGCUUCAUAGCUUGCAACAAGACACAACCUUUUAUAAUCAUUUUGAGUUUACAGAGAAUCACCACUGCAUCCUCAAAAUAACGUUUGUAUGUCACAUCGAUGUAUGUUUGAACAAGCAAUUAACAAUGGUGUAUUGGUAUUCUUGAUCCUUUUUUUGUUUUGAUUUCUUCCGAAGAUAGCAAAAUAUAACAUCUACAUGCUGCUCAAAAUAACAAAAUAAAUAAGUUAGUGAUCUCCAUAAAUUCAACUCUCAUUAAAAAUUCAUUUGGCAAAUAAAAUUUGAGAUUAACAGUUAUCUUCUUUAUGUAUAUGUUAUGUAUAAGAAUGUAUAUGUAUCAGAAACUGUUUAUUGUAGAUGUAAGUAAUAUUUUUUGUAAUACUUGAUCGUUCCACCAUGUGUUGGGCUGAGACAUUGUGUAAAAUUAGUUCUUUGAAGCUGGUUGUGCAACAAUAAAAUUCAACAAAUCAAAAUUAAGUCCUGAUUUAUUAGCUCUGUAGUGGUUGUCCUUCAAUUUCUUACAUGAGUAUAAUGAAAUGAUAUAAAUCUUCAAGAUUUUAAAAUUAUAAAAUAAUAAUGAAAAAAGUAAAAAUAUCUUACUUCUUUUCAUGGUACUUUAAUAAUCCUUCGACAAUACAACCACAGUACUGUUCGAUUAGUCCGGUCGGCCUAUCAUAGAAAAUAAGAUAACCAUCAAACGGAUGCUUUCGAGAAAAAUCAACUUUUGCAGAUUCUUUGCCUUUACAACUUGAACCAAAUUCAGUUGUAAAUGAUGACAUGAAUAUUUUAGUUCGCUUCUUGCUCCUUGGUGCACAUGUUUUAAUAGCAUCUUGUUUACCCAAGUCUGCUUCAGGAAGAACUGAUGGAAAUCGACUAUCAUGGAUGUGACAUUCACUGUUGUUAAUUUCUUUGGGACUAACAGACUUUAUUUCCAUGACAACGACUGAUGUGAAAAUUUCAGCUAUAAUGUUAUCUAUCGAUUCCUAAAACGCAUCAGUUGAAAUUUCAUUGGUAGACUCAUGAAAAAGUAAAAUUAUUAGAUAUAAAUUAAGUGUGACAUAUGACAUAUAUAGUGUAAUACAUCGUUAACAUUAUAUCUAUGUGGCUGAAUUUAUAAGAAAGAACCCAUACAAUUUGAAGAAACUUCUACAUAUCAUAAUAUGUAAUAUUGGUCUGAUACAUUUCAUAAAACAUUAAACUUGGUGUAUAUAAUGUAUCAAGUAAAUUAUAUAACAUGCAUAACCUUCUUGUACACAAUUAUAUUCCUAAUUAAUAACAUAUAUAUUCCACACCUCAUGUGUUAUCCGUACCUGCGGUUCAUUUGAAACUUCAACAUUGUCUAUUUGUAAGAAUGGAUCGAAAAAAUUGACUUUCUGUGAAAGAUCGUCUGAAUUUACUGCCAUUGCAACGACUGAUGUGUACAUGCCAUCUAUGAUAUUAUCUAUCGAUUCCUGAAAUGCAUCAGACGAUAUCUCAGUGUUGGACACCUGGAAAAUGCAAAUUGUUAGAUACAGCUACCAACUGAUAUAACAUUAUACUAACAUUAAUUGGAUCAAAGAGAUCCCAUAUGAAAUAUAUAUUGUAAUAAAUUUUUUAAAUUAUUUUUGUGUCGGAAUUUAACCAAAAAACACCCAUAUUAUGAAAAAAAUGGUAUGUAUCAUAAAUAAAUAUAAUAUGUCUGAUACAAUAUAUAUAGUCCGAAUUUUUUUUUAUAUAAUGUAUCAAAUAAAUUAACUAUUAUGCAUAACCUCUUUUAGAAAAGGAUAUUCCUAAUUAACAUAUAAUCCACAAACGUGUGUUAUAUAUACCUGCGGUUUAUUUCGAACUUCAAUAUUGUCUCUUGCUAAAAUAAGAUCAGAGAGAUUUUCUUUCUGUAAAAGCUCAUCAGGGAAACUUUCUUUCUGUAAAAGAUCAUUAGACUGUAUUGCAAUAACUGGUGAGAAAAUCUCAGCUAUGGUGUUAUCCGUGAAAUGUUAAAACGCAACAUUCUUAACCUCAGUUUCACUCUCCUAAAUUAUGAAAUUGGUUAGAUACAGUUGACAAAAAAUUUAAAAAUUAGUUAAAUGUUAAAGAACCUGUAAGACUUAUAUAGGUUGAAAUAAUAACAUUGUCAAGAAAGAAUUGGCAAAUAUAGCAAUCUUUUUGCAUUGAAUGUAUUAGUUGUACUACAUAUAAUGCAAAAUCUAAUUAACAUAAUGAUUUUCCACAUUAAUAACAUACACUCGAUAUAAUAAUUUUUUAUCAGUACCUUUUCUACAUUUUGAACUUCAAAAUUGUCUCCCUCGAAAUAACUGGAUCAUCAAAAUUGAAUUUCAGAGAAGAUCAGUUGAUGAUUUUUCAUCCCGCUUGUGAUCUUCAGUAGAUACAACAUUUCCAUCAUCAUUCUGAAACACAAAAAUUUUAUUACAUUAUAAAAAUAAUAAACGAUACACAUUUUUAACAUUUCUACUACUUUACUUUUUCUGGUAUAUCCUUUGAAUUUUCUUUUGGAGUUUUCAAAUCAUCAUCUGUCUCAUUUUUUUCACAUCUAUCGAUAUCAAUUGAAACCUGAAAAACAUAUAAUUUUUAAAAAGAUAAAUAUAUAUAAAAUUUAAUAAAAUUUGAUGUGAUUAUAUUAAAAGUUACUUUUUGUGGAGCAUCAUGCUUCUCCUUCACAGCUAACAUCAUCUCUUCAUGUUGUUUUUUCAUUUCUUCAUGAUGUUUUUUCAUUAAUGCUUCAAUAUCAUCAAAUCUUUAGUCAACAGGCAUAAGUUUAACAGAAUAAAUUAGAUAUGUUAAGAUAACCAAUUUUAAAAAUAAAAAUUCAUGUUGCACUUACAUGUCUUGACUUAUCAAUUGCAUUCAUAUCAACUUUCAGCAAAAUUUGCUCAUGAUUGAUUCAGUGUGGACACACGCACACUUUCGACAACUGGUGGUGUCUGUUCGCCGAAAUCCAUUAAAGAUGAUUCAUGUGGAGCUUCUUCAUUGAUUGGCCAGCAUUUGAGUUUGAUGUGACAGAAGGUGAUUUAUUGACUUCUUUAUUAGAGGGGUGGGCUUUAAUAUUUUCUUGACCUGUCACCGAUUCUUUUCGCUCAGCGUCUAUCUUUCUUCUUUUUGAAGGCGGUGUCAAUGAUCUAUCAGACCUAACCUUUAACUUAGUUAACAGUUCGGACAGUGAUGGUUUAGUAAAAUCAUCAAAAUCGUCCAAAGGUAAUGAAUCAACUGUCAUUUUAGCUUUCUGACCAACUUUUGUCUGCUGUCUACAUCCACAUGCAAAGUUGAAUUGAUAGAAUCUUUCAAAUUCAUUCCAGCAUGAUUUGGCAAUUGAAGACAUUUCAUCUCAUCAACUGUAGAACUUAUGUUGGUAUACACAUACUAUAAUUAAGAUUGAAAAACACAACAAAUUCAGUUAAAUGAAUGUAAUGGCAAUAAUGUAUCAAUAUUCUACAUAACAUCUAGUGAUAUACUAUAAAAUGUACAGUUAUGUAUCAAAAUUUAUCAUAUGAGUACUCUAAUGUAUCAUAUAACAGUGAAAAAAAUUAUUUUAUUGUCGUAAUUGAUAUAAAAGUUGUCUGAUCAACAAAUAUAUUAUAGUAUGAACGAAUUACAUGCUUCAUCAUAUAUUUACAAGAAAAUAUAUAUUAGAAAUAUAAAAGAAAAUUUCAUGUGUGCAACAUAAAAUACAAAAAGAGAUUAAAAAUAACUAGAAAUUACCUUGCUAAAUAUUUCAUUCAUGAACUUCUCGAAUUUAGGCUUUAUUCCAACAACAAACUAGUUACAUAUCCCCGAGAUACGAUUAUCAAUAUGGAAAGCAAUGUCUUUAUCUACUUCAGAACAACAUUCGUAGAUCCAGACGUUGAGAACAUGUGGCAUUUCUCCUAAACAAUAAAGCUGCUUUUAAACAAAAAAGUCUUGUCUCAAUGAGUUCAUCAACUAGUUGAAAGCAAUCUUUCCCCACUGAUAUUGUUCAUAUCGACCAUCCUCGACCUUAUUGAAUUCUAUAAAAUUAACAGCUGCAUCAUCAGUUUCAGAUAACAAAAACGUAUGAAUGAAAAAUAAUAUGGUCAUUCGCAAUGCAUCCUGAUCAUUGUCAAAAUUUUCCAUCUUAUACCGUUCAACAAAUUUUUUUUGGAGAUUCCAUUUUUUGCCUUUGAAAAAUACUUUGUCAUUAACACAGAGCCAUCUGAAACCGGAUACUGAAAGUCCUCAAUGUUUGAGGUGCAAUUCAGACCACUAAUGAGAUCAAAUUCAAAUAUAGAAAAUUUCAAAGCCGUUUUCUUGACAUAAACAUGAAAUUCGUUUGGGUUAUCUCGUUUACACUCAAUCAUCAACAAACAUUUGGUUAUUUGACCUUGAAAAUUUGAUUUAGGCAUAUCAACAAACGCACCAAAGCAUAUCUCCUUAAACAUAUUGAGCACAUUUUUACCCAUAAAGUACUCAACAUCGGUCACAAAAUUACGGUUGCACGAAAUGCCAAACCUCGGUGGAUGAUGUAAAACAGUUUUGAUCACGUAUUUCAUCCCCUGCAUUAAGAAACAGUGAUGUAUCAUAAUGCAUUCACUGACCUUAUGUACAUAAGUAAUGUAUCAGAUUAACAAUUAGCUUUAACAUUUGUUACAUAUUGUAUUAUGAUACAUAACUAUAACAUAUGUAGCAGACAUCCUGAUAAAAUUCUUACUUAUGUAUUAGGGUAUAUCAGAUAUCCUGAUAAAAUUCUUACUUAGUGCUAAACAGUGAUGUAUCAUAACGCAUUCACUGACCAUAUGUACAUAAGUAAUGUAUCAGAUUAACAAUUAGCUUUAAUAUUUGUUACAUAUUGUAUUAUGAUACAUAACUAUAACAUAUGUAUCAGAUAUCCUGAUAAAAUUAUUACUUUUGUAUCAUAAUAAGAAAAUUUGUGAUGUAUCAUAUCGCACGCACAAACAGUAUUUUCAUCGUUAUGUAUCAGACUAAUUGGUAACACUAACAUUUGUUAAUAACAAUAACUUGUUUUGGAGAAAUUUGUCAAUCAAAUACAUAAAUAACAUACCUUUGAUAAUGGUUCUUUUUUCACAACAUACCUCUGGUAAUGGUUCUCUUUUCACAACUUCCUUUUUUUUUUCCCUUUGAAAUAGCAACAGCAGGCUUCUUCCCUUUAGCACUGACAGCAUCCCGUAACUUCUUCAUGAUUGUUGGAUCGUUCUGAUACUUAGAUCUAUUUUCACGAAAAUCACUGUCUUUAUAAUCGAAGUUACCAGGAACAAACCCAGAUAUAUGAAUUUCAUUAGAAGUUGACUGAAAUUAAGUAAGCUCCAAACUAAAAGAUGGUCCUGACUCCAUUAAUAAUAAUAUAAUGUUUAAAGAACAUAAAAUUGAAAAAGGAUUUGUUCAAUUUCUAAACUAAUAAACAAAAUCAUCAACUAGAAACAAACUAACCUCCAAUUAAUUUUGAUAAUUAAGUUAAUGGAGUAAUUGUAAUGGAGGAUAACGGUUGUUGCUUCAAGAUCAGAUUUUGAUAUAAUCUUCGCAAGUAAUGUCGUGAUUUUAGGCUACAAAACAGUAGUUGGGUAUUGUGUUGAGUUGUAGGUUGCAAUGUAUCAGCAAAAGCGCGUGUGUUGAGUCUUAGAAAGGAUUUUUGUAAUAUAUUUAAUAGGAUGGUAUUUAAAUUAAUAUAAAAAAUUAAGGUGUUGACUUAUGUAAUUUUUCCAAUUAUAAACGCCAAGUCAAUUACCUAUUUUUUUUUGGUUUGAUGUAAAUAUUGGGUAUAUAAGCGUUUUCUGGCCCAACUCCUCUACUUGGCUUUGAUGAAAAUGAAAAGAUACCAGGACCAGCCCACCUCACAUUGAAAUCACUAGUCAGACAGAGAUGUACAUCCUUUUGUUUUUCCAGAUGUUCUAGUGUCUCGCAAUCAUUUGGUACAAUGUCACCCUUUAAUUUUGAGAGAAAUUUGUGAAAACAUGUGACCUCAAUCGAAAUCACACAUAGGAUGUAAGCCUCGUAAACUAAGCCCCACAUGAGCUUCAAGGCAUUUUGCUAGUGUCCAUUCCAGAACUGUCGUUUACAAUACUAGUUACAAAGGAGAAAUAUAUGUCCAUAAUGUUUAACCUGUGCCAUAAUGUUUGCUUAGGUUAAGAUGAGCGGAUCAACUUGAGCUAAACUGUUGGGUCUUACAUCACAACUUACCUACCUAGCACAAUUUUAUUUAUUUAUUUAUUUGUGUGUGUGGUGUGUUUGUGGGGAGGGUUAUUGAUACGUUUGUGCAGUCCAAAUUGGGUAAUAUGUGAUACGAUUUGUUAAACGCCAAUUUGGACUAAAUGUGCAGUCCAAAUUGGUCAGCUUUAGAUUGAACUAACUUGUUAGUUUCUAUACCCAAAAGUAGAACAUUUUCUUCUUGGUUCUUGUGGUAAAUUUUAUAAAACUGUCAAUAUUUAUGAUUCAAUCUCAUAAAAAUUAUGAUUACAGGUAUGUGUUAGGUAUCAAGCCGUUAAAGGGAAGAGGUUGCUCAACGGGCAAUUUCUGGCCAUGCUUGAAUUUUACGGAGAUGAGGUCAAUUAAAAGAACAUUACAGUCUACAAAUGUCUCUCUAAUAUUUCUAAAUAAUUACUGUAAUUAUUAAUUUUAUUGGUGCAACUUACUUACAUAUAUAAACAACAAAGUGUAUAUAUGAAAUAAUAAGUCAAUAAAUCUUUUAAGCUAGCAGCUAUCGAAUACAUGCUAUCUCUCACCAGCAUACGUAUCAAGUGACUCUGUAAAUUAAUAUUUUUUAGUAUAACAUGUGAUGUUUUAAACAAAAUUGGCAGGUGAUAGCAUCUAUAUUGGCAAGUGGAGUUGGCGCCAGUUUUGAACUAAAAAAUUUCAAAGACGAAUCACUAGACAUAAUUAAAUGGAAAAAGUGAACUAAUAAGUCUAGAAUUUAUGGAGAAGAGGAACAAGUUUUUUGAAAUAGGAAUUAUUACCACUGGAAUUCUGCUUGCUGGUUUUACUAUCAUGGCUACACUCACUGUUCUUAAUUCUGCCAAACGUGCUGGAAAAAAGUGUUGGGUUUUAAUUGAAAGUGAAUCGAAAAUGGAGGAAAAAGUGAAGUGUGUAUUCAAUUUAUAGAAGAAAUGUUCUCCCACCAAUGUGAGAGGAAGGAAAAUCCUUGUGCUUAAGUAUAGAAGCACUCCUUCAUGUGGAUAGUGCAGCAAGAAGAAGAUAAGCCUCACAUCGUCGUCAUCGCUCGCUCGGCUUUGGAUCUGAAAAAUGAUCGAGAGAUCAUCUUUUGGAAAAAAUUCAUUUGGAACUUGAGAGUUAUUGAGUUUUUAAUCCAAAAUUUCUAUACGAAAAUAUUUUUCAUUUGCGGACGCACACGAGCAUGUUCCCAGGUAUAUGCACGAAAUUUUGAAUUGAAAAGUAUCUUCUUCUUCAUAAUAACUCAAGCGUGAUUUACGAAUCAUUGGGUGUGUUCAAAGUUCAGCAAAUGCUGAAGUGAAUCAUUUUAUCCUGGAAGGAUAUAUUCUAUUAACCUCGAUUACUUGAGGGAAAUAGAUUCCUUAAGGACACACCGUAAAUUCAGCGGACUUGAUUCUUUUUGUUUUCAUCUUUUUUCUAAACAUUGGUUUUACUGUUUCCGAAAAAUAGUUUGAACUUUAUUUUGAUAGUUCAUACAUUGUCCAUUUUGAUAAUUCAUAAGUUGUUUGAACUUGUGUUUGAAGUUCUUGUUAUUAAUAUAUAUUUUGUACCCAAAAAAACAAUAAAAAAUUUUAGCCCCGGACUUUAUUAUCAACUUGAUCAAACUUUCAAAAUCAGCUUAAUACGACUUGGGCGGGACCGUUUGUACGAUGGCAUCUUUCAUCUUUCAUCGAUCGUAAUCAUUUUGAUUUUGAAGCGCAAUAAUGUAUGUUGUGUAUUUGUCAGGGGCAAAUGCAUGUAUGCGGAUGUUUGAGAACAUUUUUUACUAAUCUUAUAUGCACUUCUAAUAUUGAACAUUGGGUCACCCUGUGUCCAUAGAUAAUAUUCGAAAAAGAUAAAAGUUUUUUAUUUUAUGAUUUAAUUCAUCAUUUCAACUUCAAUAUUUCCUUAUUUCACAAUAAUCACUUGAUUUUUAAUUGAAAUAAUGAUUUUCAUUCAUAGAUAUAAAGUGAACAUUAUUAAUUUUGAGAUUUAAUUCAUCAUUUCAAGUUUAAUAUUGCCUUAUUUCAUAAGGAUCAUUUGAUUUUUAAGUGAAAUAAUGAUUUUCAUUCAUAAAGGGUGUGAUUGAUAUAAAGGAGGCAUUAUAUUUUUUGAUUCUCACUUUUCAUCGACCAAAAUAAUUGGUCGAUUAAGAAAUUAUUAUCCUUUAAAGUCCAAAAAAUAACCCCUCCAGCACGCUAAAGUCAUUUUCCAAAAUCCACUCUCCGUCACUUUUAGAUUCUCCGAGCCUAUUUUCUCUAGGCAGAUGGACCUUGAUUAAUCUAAUACUGGGCCAGUAAGGUUAUACGCCCAAUUUUCCACUUUUGUUCAAAGAGCAAACCUGAAAAAGAUAGGGAAAAGGACAAAAAUAACAAUUAAAAUUAAAAUAAUUCUAUAAAACUAGCACCUAAAUUUUUAACCUCGAUAAAUAGCCACUCGGUAAAACUAAUUCUAACCGAAUGGCCAUUUGGCGUGUGUGGAGAGUGACAUCUGUGAGUGGACAUCAUUAGUCAAAGGUAUUUCCUUAUUGGUUUCUGGCCAAAUAUUAAAACAAGAAAGAACAACCUUUUAGGUUACUAAUUCUCAAAAUCGCGUAGCAAUUGCUUAUUUUCCUUCUUUUUUAAGGUACAAAAUAAUUUAUUAAUAGUAUUUUCUUUUUGCAAAAUCAGUAGGUCCAUGAUUUCAAUGCAGCAGCAUAACUUUUGGGUUUUCUCCAUCGAAGUAGAAAUACGACAAACAGUUUAUUUUGCAUUCACCAAUAUUACAACAACAACAACAACAACAACAACACCCAGUGUAUUCCCACCAAGUGAGGUCUAGAUGCAUUCACCAAUAUUAUUAAAAGAAUAUACUAAUUGUUUUGUUUAGUUUUAUUUAUUUAUACAAUAAAAUACAAUAUCAUAUACUUUUAAUAUAAUAAAAUUGUUAAAGAUAUAUCUUUAUAUAUAAUAAUGAUACAGUUUCUAUACAUAUACAUAUUCUAUAUAAUAAUUAUAGCAUUUUUAUACACAUUCUAUACAAUUUUUAAUUACAAUUAUUAUUUAGAUACAUAUUUUAUACGACUCUAUAUAGUUUCUACAUGCUUUCUAAAAAUGUAUCAAUCUAGUAUAAGAGAGUAUCAAUUGAGUAUACGGACGCUGCAAGUGUAUCAACAUACUAUAAAAGUGUAUUAAUGUGCUAUAAAAGAGUAUCAAUUGGGUAUAGGGACUGCAUGUGCUUGCAUAGAAUUUCCUUUCUCUUUUUUAAAAAGUGUAUCAAUAUAAUAUAAAAGUGUAUCAAUUUGUUAUAAAAGUGUAUCAAUUGAGUAUAUGUGUCCAAUUGGGCCAAAUGGCUAAAAAAGGGUAUUAAAUUAGGCCAACUGGCCUAAGUUGUCCACCUUUUCAAUUAUGGGCUAUUUAUUUUUUAAAGUGGCUAGCCCAUGUCCUUUUUCCAAAACGAUGGGGUGUGUGUGAUUGUAUUACUUUGAGAAUAGCCCACAUCAUCUUGUUUCUUGAAUCCCACUAGUUAGAGUUAUAUCUAUAUUAGUAUGGAGUAUUUUCUAAUGUUUUGUUAUUAUUUUGGUACCAAACAUAAUUCAAACAAUCAUCACAAAACAUCUUUCAUAGUUUCUUGAGAUGUUGGUGAAAACAAUUUAAGUCAAUAGGAGUCUGGAGAUAAUUUCAAUUUUACGAAUUAUAAUUACUUUUGGUGAAAAUAUUAAAUUAUGUUAUGAAAAGUGCAUGUUUGAGGAACCUUUUGAGGCCUACAUCAUAGAACCCAUCUAGUUGGAGACUAUUCCUUUAGCUAGCAUACCUUUUUUCACUUUUUGGUUUAACCAUUUGAUAUUUAGAACUCACUAACCUGAUAAACUUCGAUAUGUAACGGCCACCUAAGGUAUUUAAGGAGAAAAGAACUCCCUAUAAGGAUUUUUUUUCAUUUUUCGAGUUUGAAUUGUAGUUUUAUUGACCUCUAAAAACUCUCUCCAAGGAUUUUUUUUCAUUUUCAAAAUUAAUGGCGGAUGAAUCACAUUAAUCCUACCAUAUGUUAGAUGAUUGUGUUGUGUCGAUCCGUUAACAUGUCAUUUCACUUUGCUUAAUGCUUAGGUUACUUCAAAUCAUAAGGCGCUUUUGUUUCUAGAGAAAUAUAUGCAUCAAAUUAGGGGAUCCCACUUCCACCUUAUUAGGGCAAUAUUGAUCAAUCUAUUGCCCCAGUUGUCAGGGGCGGAGCCAGCCAGGUAGGACCGAAUUGUUGAAAUUACAUUAUCUAUUCAUAGUUGAAAUGAUUUUAAUAUAUAUAUAGUAGAUGCUAAAUCUUCUCGGCAUUUGUAUGUUUACUUCUUUAUAUUUUGAAUCGAUCUCUUUAGUGAAAAUUCUGAUUCCAACACUGCCUGUCGCCACCAAUAAUUGGAAUAUCUACUGAUGGUAUUUUCAGUUAAACGUAAACACAGUCUCGUACUUAUCACUAUUAGGUUCACUCAUCUAGGUUUUUUUAGGACCAGCUUUGAAACACUGAAAUUUCCAAGCUACUUUUUGAAACUUGGCUUUGUGAGGAUACUUUUUACGUUCACCAUUUGAAACUUUCCGUUGCUGUUGUUUUUAGUGGCUUGGGUGACAAAAUAGAAAAUGCGUCGACUUAGUGAAAGAGUUGGAGUCCAGAUUUAAACUUUAUGGAACUUAAAUUUUAGGAUAGCAACAUGAAAUGUUAGUAACUGAGUCACCAAUAUUUAACCGUCGUACAUAUUUAAUGAAUUUUUCAAUAUAAAUAAAAAAAUUCCAACAAAAUUACUGAAUUCAACGAAAACGGUGGAUAACUUGAAAGCCCCGCCCCGACUUAGUAGUUCAUGAAUGGGGAAAGGGGGAAAAAGAAAAGGUCAAAAAUGAAAACAACUUGUAAUAGAAGUGGAUCAUAGUAGACCACUUCCUCCAUAUAAUUAGGUAUAGUAGUACUAGUAGUCACUUGUGAGGAAAUGGGGAAACCACUUGAGGUGCAAGCAAGCAAUCAAGGCAGAGAGAGCCUUUAUUAAAUUUGCAGGUUUAAUGGACAUAAGCCAACUAAAGAAAGAGACAUAUUGUGACCAGCUCUAGUUGUGUUAGGUCUCUUAAGGCUAAAGUUUGUCACAGCUUGCAAGCAAAAGUUAUAUCCAUUUUUUCUUAUUUUUCUUCUUACGUUCUCUCUCUUUCCAUCUCUUCCUAGGCAAAUUCAUAACUUAAACUUGAUAAGUUUUGUUUAAUUUUGAUCUUCUUAUCGUUGGACGCAUUGCAUUUUUGAAGUGAUGGAUUCAAAAUAUUACUACUUGUCCCAUUUUAUGUGACACCUAUUACUAUUUGGAGAGUCGAAAAAGUUUUUCUCUACAAUUGUUUUCAUAUGUUCUAUAAAUAUAUCAAAAUUUUUAAUAAUGUUAAAUUGUAGUACUCUUUACAUUGUUUUAUAAUAUGUAAAUUUCAUUUUGAAAGACAUGAAAACUCUACAUCUGAAUUUACACUUAAAUUAGAUAAUUUGACCCUGGUGCUCUGAAUCGUCUCACAUAUAAUGGGUAAAAAAGGGUACAUAUUGAUAAUUUUCACAUAUAUAACUUUGUGUCAAAAAUAUUGAGUGUUGUACGUCCUGACCCGCAGCCUAACCUACAAGUGGAAAAGGGAAAGGAGAGAGGGACAAGAAAAAUAAUCUAAGGUUACUUUAUUCUUCUCCAAAGAAGAAAACUAAAAAAAAAAAAAUGGGUGAAGUACAAUUACAUAUUACAUAUUAAGACAGGGAGCAUGGUGUGCUCUCUCUUUUUUCAUUCUUUUCAAUACCCUUUUUCUCUUUCUUUUUCUUUUUGGGUCUUCAUGUGUUAGCCUUUUGUGGGAAGGGGACCUUUUUAGUCUCCAUGUGCCUUAUGACCCAUGGGGUAGUGGGAUCAUAUGUAUAUAUCUCUUACCAAAGACAAAAUACACCAAAAAGUAUUAGGCAUUUUUCACCACCAAGCAACUUUUUUUUUUUUUUUUUUGAUAUGUGUGGAAUCAUCAUUAUAUGGUGCUUGUCAAGUUUACAUAACAUAUCUUUGAAAUUUUCUGUUUGUUUGUUGAUACUCUAAGCUAGUGGGAUUUGUCACCACUUGGGAGCAUAAAGCAUGGGAAUUCUGUGCUUCCACUGGUGAUGGUGCAUUCCCAGGAUGAAAAACAAACAAAAAGUAACAUUCAGAAAAAAGAAGGCCAAAAAAAAAGGACUCAUAAGUGGUAACAUGUCACACAUGUACACUGGAAAAAGAAUAAAAGAUAAAACCCAAAAGAGUGUGUGUUUAUUUACAACCUAAUAAAAGCAGCUUCUUGCUAUUUGAAUACAUAUGCUUUGCUAGGAAGGAUAUGUGAAGAAGAUAUGUGAUGGGAUGAACGAAAUCUCUUCACUCUUAACUAAAAAUUUCAACGUCGAACUUUGAGAAUAGGGAAUUUUUUGGUAGAGAUCGAGUGCUUCACUCUUUAAUUGAGACUAUACACGAUGUGAAUCUGAAAAGGAAUUUUUCGAUGGUUGUUCAUAUUUAUUAUUUAGUGUUGUUGAGUAGAUCCUCUUUUUAUUUUUCUUACUAUCUUGGAACUUUUCACACUACUGUCUAAAAUUUAUUUUUGAGCAAACUAGCAAUUUAUGAUAAAAAUGAGACCACGGUCUUAUAUUUUGUAAAAGUUAGAUGAUAGUCUAAAAUUUUAUCGAUUUCAAAGGUUAUAUUUGUACAACUUUUAAAAAUAGAGACACUUUAAAAUGACAAUCUAAAAAUGAUAUUUGUAUAAUUAGCCGAACUAAAACUAAUAGGACCACUAAAUUUCAAAUAAGCACUUCCUAAUGAAAAACGACUCAGUGCCCAUCUAAGUUGGAACGGGUAAUCUCUGAUUAGGAAUAAAGAAAUACUAGACAUGACUUAGGAUCCAGCUAAUUAACUUGAAUGCAAAAUCUUUUAUUAGGACUAAAGAAAUACUUACUAUUUCACUAUAUAUAUAUAUAUAUAUAAAGAAUAAAGUAAAAUAUUCUUCAAUCUUGUAAUCUUAAAUAUGUCACGUGAGAUUCUGUUAAAUACGAAAAGCAAGACAAAUAAAUUGAACCGGAUAUAUAUAUAUAUAUAUAUGGAGCAUUAAUUAGUGUUAUGAAAAAAUAAAAAUAUAUAUGCAAAUUGUUUUAUAUCAUUAAUGAGAAAAAGAAAGUGAAAAGGGGAAGACAACUAACCCUAAUCAUGAAUACAUGAAGAAGGAUGGGUCCAAGUAAUUGUGGGAAUCUUUUGAUCAAUUUGUAUAUUUUCCCUUUAAGGCUUUAAGGAGGGAGCUAGCAGAAGAUGAUUUAUGAUAAGUCAAGAAACAGACCAUGUGAGUGGGGUGACUUACCUUUACUUCCAAAAAGAGAAGUUUCUCUGGGAGACUCCAAAAGUCAAAGCAUCAAAUCUUAAUUCUAAAAACCAUAUCAAAAGCUCCUUUUUAAAAAGAAACCUAAACGUGCAAUUAUACGUAUUCAACUAUAUAUUAUGUGAAAAAUAAUAAUAGUAAACACAUUUAAUUUGUAAUCAUCACAUUCACCAUCCUCAAGGUCAUUUUGGAUCCUAUAUAAUAACUUGUACACCUAAUAUGUUCUCUUUUCCUUUAUCAACUUCUUCUUCUUCUCUUUCUAUAUGUCACGGCUUUAAUGGACAAAGGAUAAAAAGGUUUAUGUAUUCCAAGAUAUUGAAGUAAAAAGUGGGUAUAUUUUGAGUGUUUCGAAGCUUGUUUCGUGAUAAAAUCCUCAAAUAAGGAUAUAUAUACAUAUGUAAGUGUAAAAUUUAUUACGGUUUAGUGGGAGUGUCAAGCAGGUGGAUCAAACUGAAUUUGGACAAUAAAGGGGAAAGGACAGAAACGAUACUUCAAAUUAAAUCAUUUCCAUAAAAAUGGUCAUGAAAUUUAAAUUUGACUUUCUAACCAUUUCAAUUUACUGGUCUGUUCUAUACCGUUUGUACACACAUUCUAUAUAGUUUUUAUACAUAUCUUAGACAUAUAAAUAUUCUAUACGAAAAUUAUACAGUUUUGAUACACAAUUUAUACAUUAACUGUACAUAUUUUUUUACACAUUAUAUACAACAAUUAUAUAAUUUUCAUACUCUUUCUAUAUAUUUUAUAUAUAUAUAUAUUAUACAUAUACAUAUUUGAUAGAACUAUACAAUUUCUAUACAUAUAUCUUAUAUAGAUACAUAUUCUAUUUAACAAUUAUAUCAUUUUUAUAUAAUUUAAUUAUUAUUUCUAAACAAUAAAAAAGAUAGAAUAUUGAUCAGUUAAAAAAUUUAUAACAAAAAAAAAUGAAAUAUUUUUAAAAGGAGUGAAUUGCCCAAGUUGAAUACUGUAUCAGUAUUGUAUAUAGAGUGUAUCAAUAUUGUAUAUGAACUGUAUAUGGAUUACGUAGGCAAAAAUGACCCAAAUUAGGAUAUGACUAUAAAACGGAAAUAGUAUAUCCGAUUGAACACUUUUUAAAAAAUUGUCAAACUUGAUUAUUUAUUUUAAAAGGUGCUAUAGAGUGUCCUUUUCCCAUUAAUAAAUGGGCAGAUCAAAAGUUACCUGGAUUGAAAUAUGUUGGGCUAAAAUGGACUGAAUUAAAAUGGGCUAAAAGUGAAUCAAAAUCCAUCCCGCCUAAUUUUUAUUAAAUUUUAGUUUAUCAAUUUUUAUUAAAUUUUAGUUUAUCACCCCUAAAGAGUGACCUUAUAUAUCUCGUCUGCAUCAAGUAAUACCUAUAGCUUUUUUUUUUAUAUAUAAGUAAUAUCAUAGUUAAAACUCGUUAAAACUUGUCCAACUCAUCCAAGUUAUAUUAAAUAAUUCAUCUAUUUAUUAACUCAGUUCAUUUUGACCCGCUCAAAUUAUACAGAAUUAGACCAUUUGACACCCCUGGCCCUAAUCACAAUAGCACCGGUCUACUCACUAUCUUUCACGAUCACAAUUGGGGGUGGGCGCUAAUAAAAAUAUGAUCUAUCCAAGUUAGCAUGUUAAUGAUCCACACAUUUAUUAACUCAAGUACUUAUAUUUCGACUCGCUCAUAAUAUAGCCCAUCCAUUUAACACCCCUAAUCACAAUAGCUCCAUCAAUGUAACGUUCACUUUAAUUUUCUAGUGUACCUUUUGUAUUAGGACAUGCAUCAUGAGUUGCUCACUAAUUGCUACCAGAAAAUGAUGUAAAAAAGUUGAGAAGACCAUUGCCUAAUGUAGUGCUUAAUGUUAGCCACUUCUUGCAAGUUGCAGUACAUGGGCAUCGAUCUGGAUAAUGUCACGUUAAUGACAUAUAACAUGACUCAAAUUUCGUACUGCUGUCAGCUAGCCAUUUGUUAUAUCUUGAGGAAAAUAAGAAUAGUAUAUAAUUGGAAUUUUCUAUGAAGAGUUUAGUUCUUGUUCUUUACUAAUAAUAGAAGAAAUAAUUGGAAAUUUUAGCUAGGGAGACCGAAACAUCACUCACUUCAAAAAUGCAAAAUAAUAACUUUAAAAUAAAAAAAAAAAAAAAACAGUCUGACGCACUAAAGUUUUCAAAAUAUGCGGGAUUUGAGAAAUGGCUGAACCCAGGGCCGACUUUAGCAUGAAGCCACCGAAGCUAAGGCUUUCCCAUUUUUAGCAAUUAUAGAUUUAUAGUUGUGUAGAUUUUUUUCAUUGGAAAAUAUUGAGUACUUUUUACUCUAUUUUAUUUUAUUUUAUUUUAAUGUCGUUUUAGCUCAAAAAAAUUAUCACUUUAAGAAUUCAAGACUAGAAUUGACAAUUAUUUUCAACUUUACGUUUAGCAUUAAAGAACAUUCGCCGUAAUAAUGCUCAAUUAUUCAAAUAAAAUUAAUAAAUAGGAAUAACUUAGUAAAUUAUACUUUGCAUUUAUUAUUUUACCUAAUAAACAUGAAAAGAAUUAAAAUAACAGUUAAAGUGGGACGAAGGAAGUAUAAAGGUAAUCAAUAUUUCAAGAAGAUACAAAGAUUUGAGUAUUAUUUUUCAAAUUUGUAUAUAUAGUGUUUAUAGAGUUCCUAUAAAAAAUGUCUCAGCCGAAACUUUCUAAAACUAAAGUUGAUAAAAUCUUAUGAUCAACAAAGUCUCAGGAGAAAUUGAAUGAAUUAGUUAUAUUAUCAAUUGAAAAAACAAAAUUAUUGGGAGAAGUCCAUAAUAAAACAAUUUUAUUCAUAUCUUUGCAUCUCAAAUAGUUAUAUAGAAAUAAACUUGAAAUAGAACAAAAAGUUAAGGCUUCAUUUUGAAGGUUUGCUUUGGGCUAUCGGAUAUAUUGAGUAGCCCUUGGUCGAAUUACAAGGAUUUAUUAUACGCAAUCAUACUCCACAUUUAUGAAAAAGACUGUUUCCACAAUCAGACAAUAACAACAACUUUACGAUCACUGUUGGAAAAUGAAGUUAACGGCUACAAAUGAAUCAAGAAAACUUGAUGAGAAAAUAGUAUUUAAAAGAUUCUUUAUUGUUGUCUCCUUUGGUAACAGUUGGAAGAUAAGCUGUCUUUAUUUUGCAAUGUACAAAGAAAACGAAUUAGGAAGGUGGCCAUUGUCUUGCCUAAUUAUUUUUUGUUAUUUUGUAUUUGAUUCUGUAGAAUGCACAGUACGUGGAUAAAGAAAAUGCCACUCCAUCGAUCACUAUGGAGUAUAUGUAUAUAUGUGACAAAUAUAUCAAAUCACUCUUUUUCUCUAUGUGAAACAUAUAUAUGCCCUGCCAUGGACGUGUCUUUUUUUUCAGAUAAGUUUGUUUCAUCAUCUCAUAGAAUCUAUCCUUUUCGAAUUAUCAAGAAAGAAAAAAUAGAUGCAAAAGCAUAUUUAAAUUCAUAAAACCGAUUAAAAUUUUCUAGUCGUAUGCAAUUAUUGAUCUUUCAUACAGGUUGAUUCAAAAUUUAAAUUAUUUUUUUUUUUUUUUUUUUUUUUUUUUUUUGGAUUCUCAAUGAUAUCAAAUAAAAAGAAAAGAAAAAAUAAAAACCUAUGCAAUAGAAAAAUCGAAGAAUAGAUCAUAAUAACCUAUUUAUAAAGUCAUGUUCAAUAGGAGAAUCGAACCAUAGAUUAUAAUCUUUUUCAAUGAUGAGAUACCAGGAAAAAUAAAAAAACUUACUUUUUGAUUUAGGGACAUAACCUAUUUAUAAUUGAGUAAAAUAUCGAUAUUUCUAAUUAAGUCCAUGAUUAAAUUAGAAACACAUAGAUCUACGCAUAAAUAAACUCAUACUUUAUAAUAAGGUAUCUUAAGCUUAUUUAAAUCUAAACCUUAAUAAAUUAUUUAAAUUUAGACUAAUAUUUUAAUAAUAAAAUCAUUAAUAUACAAGUCCUUAAUAUAUUAUUUUUAAUUUAGAUCAAUAUGCAAGUCCUUCUGUUAAAGUCUCCACAACCUCUUCAGCUAUGGGGUAGAUAUAUACAGUUCGAAGCAUUUAUUAUGUAAAGUACUUUGGACGAUAUGUCGGAGAAUUAUUGUUAUAUUUUUGUAAAAUAAUUUUGUCUACAAGUGCAUAUUAUCGUAUGGUAUAUUACCAAAUUUAAUCAAUCAUAACUGAAGUAUAUGUAUUCUUUCUCGCACGGUGCCAUAACAUAGAGAGAAAUUUUAGUUAUUUUCCUGUAAUUUAAAUUAAUUUUAUGACUUUCUUUUUUAUAAUAAAUAAUAUUUAAUGAAUUUAUUAUCAUAAAAUUUAAAAUUCAAUUAGGAUUUACUAUAAUAAAUUUGUUUUGGUGUUUGUCCAAUUAAAUAAAUGAAUGUCAUUUGUUCUCACUCACUGAUUUUUUUUGGGUCUAUUUUUAUCGAUAUUUCAGUAUAUUUAAAAAAUGCAAUAGACGUUCCUGAUCAAAGGUUCCAUCAGUUGGAAUUCUGGAUAGAACCUUCAUAGCCCAUUUAUGAACAGGAAACAGGAGUCUUUGCUUGAUAUAAUUACAAAUUGCAAAGAUCCGUUGAAGGAAGAAGCCCCUCCCUUUGCUUAUUUAUUCUUCCUGGUCUUCGGGUCUCAUCUGAACGGUUCGCUGCCUAUUUAGUUACAUUUUAGGUUUUGAUUCCAGAACCGAAUUAGAGAUCCUGGCCCCCUCCCUUGAAAGCCAUCUUCAAUGUCUGCUCUUUCUUUUUUUGGGAGAGUAUGCCAAUAUGAUCUUAAUGAGGUGGGGGCUUUGCAUCUGACAUUCGUUGGACUUGGUUUAGGAAGAAUACGAACUUUGUUUCGGUCAGGUGUCGAACUCUUUUAUCUUCGCCAAGAUACUUUCUUAGCGAUCUUUUCUCAUCCUAAAGUUGAUCUCCUGUCCUCUACUGACCCACCCCAAUCAGCAUUACUAUAGAUUGUUAUAGAAGCUGAUGUUUCAGAAAAUAAAAAAAAUUAAUGAUAAAUGACAUCGUGUGUGCUUGUUUUUUACUUCCGACUAUAUUCUAUUUCAAGUGUUUUCAGUGUUGAACUCUCAUGUUAUAUUGACGCCUAGUACUUUUCAGUGUGCGUGGGAGUCUUAGGUGUCCCAUUACUAUGCAACAUGUGAUAAUGUAGUCUCUGAUAAUUAUCACCUUUCAGCUAACUUACUAGUGUUAAGUUAAUCAAAAACAGAUGCUAUGGCAUAUUUUAAACAAAAAGUUUUAAAAAAAUCUGUUGUUUUUUCAAUUAAUACUCAAUUAAACUACGGAAAAGGUUAAAAAAUAUUCCUAAACUAUCUGAAAUAGCUCAAAAAUGUCCCUCGUUAGAUUUUUAGCUCAAAAAUAUCCCUCUAUUAAAUAUUUAGCUCAAAAAUACCCCUCCGUCUAACGGAAUUCGAAAAAGGAUCAAAAAUAUCCCUGAACUAUCUGAAAUGGGUCAAAAAUACCCCUUUAUUAAAUAUUUGGCUCAAAAAUACCCCUCCCCUUAAUGAAAUUAAAUUAUUUCUAUUAAAUUAAACCCUAACUUUAACUUUUUAACCCUAAUACUUUAAUUUUUUUACAUAAAAGUAUUUUUUUAAUUUUAAAAAUAAGAUAAUGAAAAAAAGUAUUUGAAUCAUAAUAUAAAUUGGUUGAAUUUGAUUUGAAAAAUAAACAUACAUUUAACGAAAUAUAAAUUUUCACUUAAAAAUUUAACGAAAUAAAAAUUAAAUGAUGAACCUUAUAUAAAUUAAGGAAAUAAUCGAAAUAAUUUAAUUUCAUUAAAUACCCCUUUGUUAAAUAUUUGGCUCAAAAAUACCCCUCCCCUUAACGAAAUUAAAUUAUUUCGAUUGAAUUAAACCAACUUUAAAUUUUUAAUCCUAAUACUUUAAUUUUUUUUNNNNNNNNNNNNNNNNNNNNNNNNNNNNNNNNNNNNNNNNNNNNNNNNNNNNNNNNNNNNNNNNNNNNNNNNNNNNNNNNNNNNNNNNNNNNNNNNNNNNNNNNNNNNNNNNNNNNNNNNNNNNNNNNNNNNNNNNNNNNNNNNNNNNNNNNNNNNNNNNNNNNNNNNNNNNNNNNNNNNNNNNNNNNNNNNNNNNNNNNNNNNNNNNNNNNNNNNNNNNNNNNNNNNNNNNNNNNNNNNNNNNNNNNNNNNNNNNNNNNNNNNNNACUUUAAUUUUUUUACAUAAAAGUAUUUUUUUAAUUUUAUAAAUAAGAUAAUGAAAAAAAGUAUUUGAAUUAUAAUAUAAAUUGGUUGAAUUUGAUAUGAAAAAUAAACAUACAUUUAUUCUAAAAAGGUAUUUUCACUUUACAUCUUUUUAAUCUUUAAAGAAAUUAACGAAAUAUAAAUUAACGAAAUAUAAAAGAAAUUAACGAAAUAUAAAUUAAAUGAUGAACUUUAUAUAAAUUAACGAAAUAAUCGAAAUAAUUUAAUUUCGUUAAGGGAGGGGCAUUUUUAAACCAAAUAUUUAACAAAGGGGUAUUUUUGACCCAUUUCAGAUAGUUCAGGGGUAUUUUUGAUCCUUUUCGGAAUUCCGUUAGAGGGAGGGUAUUUUUGAGCUAAAUAUUUAACGGAGGGGUAUUUUUGAGCCAAAAAUCUUACGAAAGGUAUUUUUGAGCUAUUUCGAAUAGUUCAGGGAUAUUUUUGAGCCUAUUCCGAUUAAACUAUAUCACAAAAUAAAAAAAAAAUUGGGGGAUUACAAUACUUGCAAGCAAAAUUCUUGAUGCAACACUACCUUAAUUCGCAGUUAACAUUUUUAAUUCUUCAUCCUUAUUCUAUAUGUGUAUAAUUAAUUCCCGCAGCCCUCCCCUAAGAUUAUUUUAAAAUGGAAGACAACAUUCAAAUUCUAAACAAUAGACAAAGAUCUCCUUUUCUUUUCUUUUUUUCCAUCCAAACACUAGUCACUAAACAACCAUUACAAGCUAAAAAGAUCUCUAUUUUGUUAUAAUCUUCUCAAUUUUCACGAUUAUCAUGAUCUCUUUUAUUUUUCAUAUUUAUUGUCGGCUUCCUUCAACUAGUUCCCUAGGAAAAGCAGCCUUUGAUCCAUGUGAUUUGGAGGUCAUGGGUUCAUCAAGCCAUGGAAACACCGGCCUCUUGCGGAAAUGUAAGAUGAGGCUACGCACAAUAAACUCUUAUGGUCCGAGCCUUCUCUAGACCUUCGCAUAAUAGAGCGUUAGUGCACCAAACUGCCUAUUUUUUUUUUGAACUGUCCUUCAAUGUAAUAUAAUGCCUUGCUCUCAAAGUCUCAUUUGCAUCUAUUAUAUCCAAGUCCCUAUACUGUUUAAAAAAUUGUGUGAACUAAUUAUUUUCUUCUAUCUCUCUCUAGGUUAAAUGGCAAGUUGUUAAUAUAUAAAAGGGUAGAGAGAAUUAUGCAUUAAUGCUAGUUAAAAUGACAGGGAAUUUGUUUGUGAAAAGGAAGAAUGAUCAUUUUGGUGAUAGUUGGCAGGUCGAUUAUCUUAAUUUGUUGAAAAGACAUAAAAGAGGGGAUCUUUGUCUGUUGUUACUUGUGUGUCUUUAGCGCAAAAAUGAUCUUAUCUUUAUUCAUUUAUUGGUCAUGAUUAAUUGCCCAUAAAGUCUUCGAGAAUACAAUGUAAACAUGUCAAUGAAAUUAAAGAAUUUAAGAAAAAUAUCUAAGUAUAUUUACUUGCAAAAUAGGAACUUGGGUCAGUAACAUUUUGCAUGGAUGAUGUAAUAACUAGUUAAUUAGAAGUCUCAACAUCUUUUCAUAAUCUCCAUGCCAGCCAAACAAAGCUGUUUAAAUUAGAAUUUACCUUCUAUACACUGCGGGGUGUUAAAAAAAAUUUACCUAUUACGUCAUUCAAAACAUAAAUAUAUACAGUGGCAGAGCUAGAAUUUCAUUAAGGGGUUUCAGAAGUAAACAUACAAACUAAUCAAAGGAGCUCAACAUCUACUAUAUAUAUGUAAAAAAAAAUAAUUUUAACUAUAUAUAAAUAGUACAUAUAGUUUUCCACCGAAGAAGGUUCAGAUGAACCCCUGCCCUAAAGGUAGCUCCGCCCCUGAAUAUAUAUAAUCAUCCAUAAUAUUGAAAUAAAUUGAGUAAAAAAAAAAGAUAAACAACCUUUGAAAAAAAUAUUAAAUUAUAUCAGUAACGUAAAUGAUUUUACAUUAUUGACACAUAUGAAUUAACUCUUCUAAAUUAAGUGAUCUCAAAUUUCAAAUAUGGGGAUUGGAAAAAAUCAUGGUAUAAAGUAUACAAUUUGUAAUGGCCAAGAGAUUCCAUUUUCUCUGAUUUAUUCGUAAUCAAAAUGGAUAUUGAACAUCAUGUGAUAUCUUUUUUUGUAAUUCUUUUUUUUUUUUUUAAAUAGAGGGUGUAAUAGUGACCCCUCAAGGGGUUUAUAUGUAAUUUAACCAAAGAAUAAAGGAUAUCCUUGGGACUAGAUAGACCCCUUUGGUUAAUUUGUGGGAGGUAAUGAAAGAGGAAUAGGCAGUUAAAAUAUUUUGUUGAAUAUUGCAUUGAACUAGAGAUAUUGCCAAAGCCAAUGGUCUCUGCAUAAAAAGGAAAGAUGCUUUGGUGUGUUUUUCCUCAGACACACACUGUAGCUCAGUAACUGUACUAACACUGUCUCCUUUCUUCUUCAGCAGCAGCAGCUACAGCUACUGAUUCUCAUGAAUGAAAGAAAGAAAACAAAAAAAGAUUGGAGGAAAAAGGACACUUUGAUACGCUAAAGCUCCCGCUAUGUGCAGCGGUGAAUCUAUGGGUAUUUUUGUUGUGCUUUACACUCGUUAAAUUCGAUGCAGACUAGGUCUGAUUAUAUAAGAAAUACUAUAUAAAAAUUUGUAGAGGACUCAAAAAAAGCACCCUGCAGAAAACCAAGAUGUUAGUCGAGUAUUUUGGUUUUCAAGCGGAAUCUUAAAUCUUUGAGCGUCAAUAUAUAUAUCCUUAAAUUCUGGGUCCGCCUGUAAGCAUGUGUUUUCUUCAUUUCUAUAGGUGGUUGUUUCCGCUGCUUAAACCUCUAGCCUUUUACUCACAUGAUAGAAACAUUAUAGGUUACUCCAAAACUCCUCUUUGGAGGAAAGUAACUUGAAAAAGAAAAAAAAGAAAGGUAGAAAGAGAGGGCUGUGUGUGAUGACCAGCAAGUAGUAGUACUGUUUAAUGAAUAUAAUGGAGUUUGUUUGUGUCUGAGAGUUUGAAAGAGACUAGUCUGCCAUCAACCAUUACAACUUUGGCACUGAAAAACAUGGUGUUUUCUCCUUUAACAUUUAUAAGGUAGCAGACUAGCAGCAGGGAAAAGGACUAUUAUCUGAUUCCCUUCUUUCUCUGCUUUUUUUCAAAUUUUCUUAAGCAAUUAUUUUAUUGGCAGUACAAUUCUUUAAUACUGGGGUCACCCCUCCUCCCAUUUUCUGUACACCUCAGCCAACAAAGAUCUCCAAAUAGUCCAAAUGCAAAAUCUAACACACUACAAAAAUUUAAGGGGUAAUAGAGACCAGAUAAUGUAAUUUAAUUCUCUGUUUUUCUCUGUUAUUUUUUCCUUUUUUUGGAACACUAUAUACAGCUCACUCAACUCAAUGAAAUAGUGGAGUACCAUAUUGAUGAGUACUAGUAGUAAAAUCAAGAACCCCUGCAAUAAAUUGAUACCAAGAAAUCUCACAUUAUUACCCUUGCUGAAAAACACCAUUAUGACAGUCACCUUGCAAGAAUUAAAUAAAAAAACAAAUAACACCAAAUACUCCUUUUUUUUUUUUCUUCAUACAACCCCUCAUUAACUAUUCACUAGCACCACCACCCUCACUACACUACUAACUAUAAUCAUAUAAUCAACAAACAUAAAAAAAAAAAAAAAAAAAAAAAAAAAAAAAAAAAACUAAAGAGAUAAAAGAAAUACAAUUCGAAUAACUAACGCUGAGAAAGUUUGAGAUGUUCGGUUUGGUUGAUAUUCUUGGCAACUUCAUGAUGACCUUCUGUUAAACCCGAAGAGAUAUAACUCAAUGCCAAUGAGUUAUUCUCAUCUAUAAUAUUGACUCUUGGAGUUGACGAUUGGAAUUUCUGUUUGCAAGAAUGACAAGUGAUUUGCGAAAGAGUGGAGCUGAUUUGCUUGAUGGCAUGUUCUUUCAAUGCAUUAGCCUUGUCCAACUCCGCUUGUGCCUGUUGCCUAAUCCUCUUGGCAUUGGCGAACUCCUGCUCAGCCAACUCGAUCUGCCUCUUCGCUUGCUGCCUUGCUUCUUCGGCAUACACCUUUUCUUUCAUGGCCAGCCUUAGCUGCUCCGUUGCUUCAUCUUUAAGCCUCAAAGUGUCUGAACUACGCUUCUCAUUCGCGUUCUCUGAUGACUCGUUGAAAUCUGAGGAGCCAAUGGAGAGUUGGAGGUUGUAAGUCGAGUGAUCUUCGUUCGGUUUAGAUGAUACGGAGACAUCAAAGGCCGGGCUAGUUGAUGAUGUAGUAGCAGUCAAGAGUUGUAGCUCCAAAUUGUGUUGCUUUGUACAACUUUUCAUGAUGUUGGGAUUAGCCUGAUGAGUAGCAGCCGCGGACGACAAUUUUUUUAGUAACGUACUGGACCAUGGCGUUGUGCUGAGAUUCGUGUCGCUUGAUGGGCUAGGAGUACUCGAAGCUGUGCGAGAAAGGCAAGGAGGAUGUAAAGAUUGUGAUUCAGAUCGGAGCCUGCCCAUGCUACAAGCAUCUUGAUGCUCGAUGAAACUUUCCACCCUAUAAUAAGAAAAAAUGGUCAUUUACAACAAUCUCCUUCUUUUUCAAGUGAAAACUGAAAAAAAAAAAAAAAAAAAAAAACUAAAGAGAUAAAAGAAAUACAAUUCGAAUAACUAACGCUGAGAAAGUUUGAGAUGUUCGGUUUGGUUGAUAUUCUUGGCAACUUCAUGAUGACCUUCUGUUAAACCCGAAGAGAUAUAACUCAAUGCCAAUGAGUUAUUCUCAUCUAUAAUAUUGACUCUUGGAGUUGACGAUUGGAAUUUCUGUUUGCAAGAAUGACAAGUGAUUUGCGAAAGAGUGGAGCUGAUUUGCUUGAUGGCAUGUUCUUUCAAUGCAUUAGCCUUGUCCAACUCCGCUUGUGCCUGUUGCCUAAUCCUCUUGGCAUUGGCGAACUCCUGCUCAGCCAACUCGAUCUGCCUCUUCGCUUGCUGCCUUGCUUCUUCGGCAUACACCUUUUCUUUCAUGGCCAGCCUUAGCUGCUCCGUUGCUUCAUCUUUAAGCCUCAAAGUGUCUGAACUACGCUUCUCAUUCGCGUUCUCUGAUGACUCGUUGAAAUCUGAGGAGCCAAUGGAGAGUUGGAGGUUGUAAGUCGAGUGAUCUUCGUUCGGUUUAGAUGAUACGGAGACAUCAAAGGCCGGGCUAGUUGAUGAUGUAGUAGCAGUCAAGAGUUGUAGCUCCAAAUUGUGUUGCUUUGUACAACUUUUCAUGAUGUUGGGAUUAGCCUGAUGAGUAGCAGCCGCGGACGACAAUUUUUUUAGUAACGUACUGGACCAUGGCGUUGUGCUGAGAUUCGUGUCGCUUGAUGGGCUAGGAGUACUCGAAGCUGUGCGAGAAAGGCAAGGAGGAUGUAAAGAUUGUGAUUCAGAUCGGAGCCUGCCCAUGCUACAAGCAUCUUGAUGCUCGAUGAAACUUUCCACCCUAUAAUAAGAAAAAGGAAAGAGUGGAAUCAUUUGUUCGUCAUGCAAAUAGUAAUUUACUUGUCAUGAUAAAAGUAAAGUGGUCAUGAUUUUUGGGUGUAAUGGAAAAAGUAUGAAAAAGGGACAACUUCAUCAAAUGAUGAUAGUAUAUAUAGUGAUGAUUCAAAAUGCUAUCACCUUAUCAUUGAUGAAUGUGGGAGCAAGAACCUAGUUUAGUACAAUUACACUAACUAUGAUCUUCGUAUAUAUACGCAUUUAACGUAUAUACGACGAAUAUGUAAAGAAGGAUAUAAGAAAAAAAAGGUAGAAGAAGAACACCAGCUGAGCUAAUAUUGAACUAUUUUUUAGUACAUGGAAGUACAACAAACAUCCCUCAUUCUUAAUAAGCAAGCAGAAUGUUUUUUUGGGGGAGUCAAUUUCAUUCUUCUAGGAAGCAUAGAAUAAUGAAAAAGAUUAAGAAAUCCAAAACACGUUGCAUAAUUGAACAAAACGAAAUUAAAGUAUGACUUUAAGGAUCAAGAAUGACCUAUGAAAGACAAUUUUUAAACUGUAUUAAAGUAUAAAAUAAAGAACUGUAGUAUUAAGUCAGCUAGAAUAGAUAUAAAUCGUAAGGAAACAGCUUGCUAAUUUUGCGGAGUUUGUUUAUUCUUCUCUUUCCCAAAGCUUAACAUCCUUUACAAAAUAUAAAAAAAAAAUCCUAAAACCGUCAUGUAGAAAUCAUUUUGUUUAAUUUGACCGAGACAUUACAUUCGUACUACACAUUUGAAGAUUUCAAUAAUCUUUU
rnacentral:lncRNA from 1 species